CGACUUAAAACAUAUAAUAAUACAACAAAAAAAUAACAUAAAAACACAUAAUAAGAUCAGAUAACACACUGCUAGAUAAUAAAGAAAAUAAAAUACCCACAGAGUACUACUAUAAUUUAUUUUUCAAAAUAAUUAAAAAAAAAAACUCAUUACCCCACCCCAAUUAUAAAUCUUUGGUCCUUUCCCUCACCCACAAUAUUAAUUAUAAAUCUUUGCCCUUUCCCCCUCACAAAAUGUUAAUACUAGUAAAUCCCCUCAUAUAGCAUUAUUCUCCAACACAACAAUAUAUUCUCUCUUUUUACAUUAUUCUUUUGAAGAACUAAAUAAAACCAUCAUUUCUCCCUUCUAAACAACUCUCUCUCUUUGAGUCUUGGCUAGCUCCAAACAACACAAUAGUUUGGAGACUAGCCAAAACCAGAAAAAAAAAAAAAAUUAUUUCGUCCUUCAACAAUUUUCUUCAAAUUCAUUCAAGACGACGACGACCAUCACCACCAGAAGUUUAUCAAUACGUUCAUUAUGACAAACAAACGAGAAAAUAACAAGAUCGAGUCAACAAGACCACCAAGUAAUAAAACUAUCAAGCGCGAUCAUCAAGAAAAUCGUCAGGAGCCAAAGAGAUUCAACGAUGCAGGAGGUGUGUCAGGUGUGCAUGUAGUGGGGCAUGCAACCAUGCAUGUGCAUAACGAGGGCGGGCCAAUGAGGACAGAUAAUAAUCCAGAAAAUGGAAGAGAGAGAUUGAAAAGACAUAGAGUUGAAGUGGCAGGACAUGUAUGGAUACCAGAAAUUUGGGGACAAGAAGAAUUAUUAAAAGAUUGGAUUGAUUGUAAUGCAUUUGAUUCAACAUUAAUGAAUAAUAAUAAAAUAAUGUCAGCUAAAAGUGCUUUGGUUGAAGAAAGAAGAAGAUUGAGAAUUGAAAAUAGUUAUUGAAAUAUGCUCCACAAAAAAAAAAAAGAUGAGGUUUUUUUUUCAGAAAAAAGUUAUUAUUUUGAAAAAAAUAAUAAUUAUGAUUUCUAUUUUUUAUGGUCUUUUUACUGUAGUUGAUCUGUUUUAUUAUCAUAAUAAUGUAUUUCCAUGUUGAUAUUAGCACUUUUGGUCCUUCUUGGAUUAUAGGUAAAUUCUGAUUUCGAUCUGUGUAAGGUAUAUUUUAUCGAUAAUUAAUUUCGAAAAUAUGUUUUUUUGUUUGUGAUUUUAUGUAGAAAAUAUGUUAUACUUGAAUUUUGUUUUGUUAUUGUUAUAAUUGUGCAUUUUCAUGUUAAUACGAGCACUUUUGGUUCUUGGAUUAUUGUUAAAUUUUGAAUUCGAUCUGUGUGAUAUAUAGUUUGAUAUAGUUUAUUUUUAAUUAAUUUCAAAAGUGUGAUUUUUUGUGACUUUAUGUAGAUUGUUAUCAUUAUAAUUGUGUAUUUCCAUGUUAAUAUGAGCACUUUUGGUUCUUGGAUUAUAGGUAAAUUUUGAUUUCGAACUGUAUGAUAUAUGUUUUAUCGUUAAUUAAUUUUAAAAAUGUGUUUUUGUGACUUUAUGUAGAAAAUAUGUUAUCCUUGAAUUCUGAUUUGUUAUUAUUAUAAUUGUGUAUUUCCAUGUUAAUACCAGCACUUUUGGUCCUUGGAUUAUAAGUAAUUUCUGAUUUCGAUUUGUGUGAUAUAUGAUUUGGUAUAAUUUAUCUUUAAUUAAUUUCAAAAUUGUGUUUUUUGUUACUUUAUAUAGGAAAUAUGUUAUUUGUUAUCAUUAUAAUUGUGUAUUUCCGUGUUAAUACGAGUACUUUUGGUUCUUCGAUUAUAAGUGAAUACUGAUUUCGAUCUGUGUGAUAUAUGGUUUGGUAUAAUUUUUCUUUAAUUAAUUUUAAAAAUGUGUUUUUGGUGAGUUUAUGUAGGAAAUGUGUUAUACUUGAAUUCUGUUUUGUUAUCAUUAUAAUUGUGUAUUUUCAUGUUAAUACGAGCGCUUUUGGUUCUUGGAUUAUAGGUAAAUUCUGAUUUCGAUAUGUGUGAUAUAUGGUUUAGUGCAAUCUGUCUUUUAAUUAAUUUUAAAAAUGUGUUUUUGGUGAGUUUAUGUAGGAAAUAUGUUAUGCUUGAAUUAUUGUUUUAUUAUCAUAAUAAUUGUGUAUUUCCAUGUCAAUAUUAGCAUUCUUGGUCCUUAGUUUAUAGGUAAAUUCUGAUUUCGAUUUGUAUGAAACACCUUACCUCUCAAAUAGGACUUCCCGACAUGAAUCCAAAACAGUCGACAGGCCCCAAAAUGAAUACGGACAUUGAAUGAGAAAUCAAAGAAGAUUAGAAAAAGCCAAAAUAGAAUUUCAACAUGAAAUAUAGAUCACACAAUGUGGUUGAUGGAGAGAUGCAUCCAUGGAUGCUAAAGUCCAACUUGUCAUACAACAUGCAUGAGAGUUAAAAAAAAAGGGCAGGCCGGUGCACUGAAGAUUCCACCACAAGGGUGUCUUGUACGCAGUCUUACCUUGCAUUUCUGCCAGAGGCUGUUUCCAAGGCUUGAAUCUGUGACCUCCUGGUUACAUGACCGCAACUUUACCGGUUACUCCAAGGCUCCCAAAAUGUAAAUGGUCCCAGCUUCAAGUCAGGGAGCAUAUGGUACAGGUUCGAUAUAAUCCAAUAGCUUUCGCUCAAAACCUGUUUAUCUGUUGAUAAAUCUACUAAAUACGUACAUACAACCAAAUGUUAAUCCGGUAGCAUAGCAAGGAAUUGCCAGAAACUCAUAAACUUCAAAUUCUGGAUACCAUCUUUGUUGUAAUGUUGACAGCAGAUUUGUCAUAUAACAUGCAUAGGAAUAUCUUACAGAGAUAGAGUACCAAAUAUUGAGAAAAAUUGCAUUUCCUCAGUAAAAUAUGUAGUAAUGAAUCACUGAGGAUGGUAGGGGAUAUAUAGGGUCCCUCUACCGUUAAGCAGAGGUCUUUGGUUCGAGCAAAAAAAAAAGGUAGUAAUGAUAUUGCUAUAUAUAGAUUACGAUGUGUGGCGUCUGUAUCAGUUGUCAAUAUGCGGCCAGUGGCCACGGGCAAAUAAAUUCCCAUAUCUUCAAUGUCCCAUCAUCACUGGCCGAUGCCAAAAGCCUUUUAUCCUGCAAGGUUUUGACAGAAGAAAGUUAAUAUAUUGCAGGACAAAAAAGAAUCUUGCUUUCGAUUUUGUUAGGGAAAUAGAAGAGAAGCUCAAAAUAGGCAAACACGUAGCCACGAACAAUGUGAUGAAGAAAAAAAACUCGAAUAAAGGGUCGUACUAAGACAGAUACCAAUCAAACUAAAGGGUAGUAAGCAUUAGAGAGUGAAUUCACCCUUGUAGUUGACAAAAACAUUUUAUCUCCUUGAAAAAACAUACAACAACGAUUGCAAUGCCGAACAUAUUUUUUGUCCAAAGCACCAUUUGUCAGCUCUGACAUACACAUCUUACCACCUAUGUGGAUCCGUAACAGGUGGAGUAUUGUGACCGGCUUCAUAUGAACCAAUAUUUUUGAUGUGGAGCACGAAAUUUAUGUCAAAGAAUCAGGAAAAUUGUGACACGUAGUAGAUGAAACCAUAACUUUAGAAUGCAGUGUGUUCCAACGCUAAGAACCUUAAAGGUUGAAUGCAAAUGACUUUAAUCCUAGAUUCAUCUAUGAUCGGUAACACGAUUAUUCCAGUGAGUGACUUACCCCAGAAUGCCAAUUCACAGAAUUUAUAUUUGUUUCAUGAGCCUUCUCCUUCUUCAAAAGUAGUUUAAAUGUAAGUCCAUCAACCUGUCAUCGGAAAAAGUAAAUUUAUUAUACCAAAUAAGGCUGGAAGAGACGAUAUUAGAUGAUCACCAUUAGCUUAUAUGGACAAUAUCAUUCAUGUGAAUCUGGGGAAGUUUGUGUGCAUCUCAACUAAUUGAUGGGGCAGCAUGUAUAGCUUACAAUCAGAGGAAACCAAGAUAAUCUUGCCGGACAAAGAUGGAUCUGAAGGGUUCACACAUAGUGUUGUAGAAGCACACCCCAAAAUCGUCCCACUCCACAAGAAAUUUGGGUUAAUAGGAGGCGGUUUUUGGAGAUGGAGCUCAAAACAUGAUCAAAAGAUCAGUGUUUAUGGAAAAAGCUAUAGAAUCGAUUACUAGUAGUACCAGUUUAAAAGGCUCGUUGGAAUUGAUCCACUAAGGGAUUAACAUUAUACGCAACAUAAGCACCUGAAGUACUAAACGGUAUAAGGGAUAUAGAAGGUUUUCCGAUACCUCUUUGUCCUUAUUCUCGAUGAAUACACGUAUAGCAUCAUCAGCUCCUGAACUCGCAAUUAUAUUUGGGUCCCGCUCAUCCAGCACUACCCUACUGCGUAAAUCUCUAACAUAUUAGAAUAUCAAGUAUGUUAGCCUUCAGGAAUGGCUAUAAUUUGCAAAAGAGAUCAAACAUGAACUCUAGACAGUAAAACAAGUUACGAAACUCUUGAUUCAUGGAAAAUAGAUGGUAUAUCGUAAACCCCCAACCACCACCACCACCCACCCAGAUCCCCUGCUCAAAGAAAGGUAAUAUUAAGGAGUGCAAACAGAAAAAAACAUAUAUUAGCCUGAGCAUGAUAACAAAUAGAUAUAAAGUAGCUACCUCAACCAGUCAACUGAGAAAAUUGUUGUGUCGUGAUAUCCAGAUAGAGUGCAAGCACAUACCCUAACAAGCACAUAAAGGAGAUGGUCGUAAAUCAGGAGUUGGAAAACAUAGUAAUUACAACAACAUACGGAAUACCCAGUGUAGUCUCACACAGUAGGAUCUUCGGGGGGUAGAGAGGUUGUUUCAAAUAGAUCCUAGGCUCUGAAAACUUAGUAAUUGCUGAUAACGAUUACAUCAAACAUAGUUUAUUAAACAAAUGAAGACCGCUCUUGGAUUGAGGAUAAAAAUAGCCAAAGCACUAAAUGCAGUCUCUUAGGAGAACAAAAAUAUUUGUCCACCCGAAUGCAUCACCCUUUCUUUUGAAAAAAUAAGAAUACACAAAGGCUUAUAAUUCCACAGCAAUGAAAGCACCUUUUCACUCUUUCAUACACUAGGAGAUAUGUAAGGUCUUUCAAUUCGUCAAAGCUUAAGCUUAAGACCUGUAUUCCCCGGCAAGGCAAAGACUGCCCCUUUGUUUCAGGGCACCACCACUGUCACGUAGAAUGGGUUGAAUGCGCGGAGAUAACCCCGAAAAGACCGUUGCGUGCUUUGAGGCAUCCGGAGGCUUACAUUUACCCAGAGGAUAAACAAGGAUGGCUUCUUAAAGCACCGUGCUCCAUUACACUGGUGGUUGCAAACACUUCCGUGUGCUAAGUUAAUAGAAAAAUAUAUGGAGAACAGAAAUUCCCCGGGAUUCAAAAUGUGACUUGGAUCAAGCCUUGAGCCUAGGAGAGGUGGGGGGAGGGGGUUGCGGACACAAAUCGACCAUUUUUCCUUGCAGCAUAGUUCUCAUGUGCGCAUGAGGUCCGUGAAUCAACUAUAUAAGAUAGCAUUAUUCUUAUGAAAGUGAAGAUAAGAUGGGGCUUACCAAUGGCCAAUAAAAUCCGUGAGAUAGAGUUUAUCUGUUUCGCAAAUCCAUAUCUUAAUGGUAAGAUCAUCACUGCAAGUUAGAGAAUUCAAUGGAAGAUCUGUUUAGUAGUGACUAAAACACAUAUCCUAUUUAAGAUACACCCAAGACUUGAGAGCGUAUAUUCUAAAAUGAAUUCAGCAGAAAAGAAAGCCAUACCUGCAAGAUACCAUAUAUUCUCUAUACUUACUGACAGAGAGAGACCGCACAGUAGAUGUAUGUCCGCUGAAAGUUCAACAAUGUAGUGGCAUAAGCUCCCAAACAAUCUUAAACGACGUUACUGAUUGCCUUCUUGGCCAAACUUCCAAAAUCUAAUUAUUUUGUGCAGUGUUUUUAGAAAAGUUACUUUUGACGAUUAGAAGCUUGUUUUUGGCUAAUUAAUUUGAAAAACACUUUUGUCCUAUGUUGCUUAGACUCUCCAAAAAAUUAUUGCCACACCUAUAUCAAACCGCCCAAAAAUGCACAAUUUUGGAAGGAUCCGGUACACACCAUCGGCAUUUAAAGAGUCGGAGCAACAUAGCUUUUGCCAAUAUUAGAGCAAUAAUUUGUGUUUGAUCAUGGUUCCAAAGAGUGCCUCCGUGGGAAACUACCUUUUUCCGUUUCUGCAGCUACUCAAAAACACGAUAACUUAGGCCAAAGGCCACGAGGAAAUACAAAAAACCCAGUAAAAAUGCAGUCAAGACACUACAAAUUUGAUAAACAAAGUAAUAUGACAUUGUUCAGGUGUACAUUUUUUGCUCCUCCAGUAAAUAAAAUAAAGUCAAGGUUUUGUAAUGCCCAAUAAUGAUUCUUACCUGUCAGACUCACCCAAAUUUAUAAUACAAUUCCAAACACCGUCGUUAUCACGUCUCUCUCUCCAAGCCUAAAGUUUUCAAGCAACACUAAAGAUUAGAUAUUUUCACUAGCAAAGGAUCGAAUUCCAUUCACUACCAAUUCUCUGCCUUACACGUAAUAGAGGUAUGAAAAGCAAGCACGCAAGAAUUUCUCAAAGCAAGUAACACACGACACGCACACAACGUGAAGUUAAACAUCAAAUAUAUACCUUAAUUGUGUUAUCACAACUAGCCGAGAAUAGAUCAUCAUAAUACCAUUCAACAGUAUUAACAUCGUCUGUGUGUCCUUGUAACACUGUAGCACAAUCAAACUCAUCUCCGGGCAAAACUUCCCAUACCCAGACUGACUUAUCACCUCCACACGUCGCAAGAAGUUGCCCUCUUUCAUUCCAGGAAACACUUCUCACUUCAUUUUCAUGACCCUGGACAUUAUCCAGCAUAAGAAAUGUAAGAAAGCAGACAGGAUUUUAGUAUCUAAAUUAGGAUCACGAAUCAAUAAAAGGCAAAUCAAAACAACUCCGCAGUUGUAAAUUCCCUUAUUCUGCUGACAAAUUGUCUGAAGUUUGUGUUGCAGUAUUUACAGAGAGUUAAUUUCUCAUAUCGUCAGUCAACUAAGAGCAUUUCACUCAGAAAGUCGUUGUACCUUCAAAGUGUAGAUACACUCAUAUGCAUGAACCCCGUCAUCUUUCCAAAUGACAGUGGUGGCAUUAGAGCAAGCUGCUGCCAACAAUUUGCAUUCUGGUGACCAAGCACAGGAUCUAACCAUAGAUGAUACCUCCAAAACAGCCUGCAAACGUGGGGUUUACCAAAAGUGUAGAUAAGCUAAAAAGUGCUUAUACGUCCAUUUGACCAGUUUAUAAGUUUAGCCAAACACCCUCUAAAUUUACAAGUUUUUGAAAGAAAAUUAAGGGAAUUUUAGUCAUUUUUAACAAAAGAACAACUUAUCAAAACUUUUUUAGCAAACACAUCAACUGCUUAUUAAGAAUUUCAGCAUUUCUAUCCCAAACACGUAAGUAUUUAUUUAUAAAACGCAUAAUAAAUAAACAAACACUCAAACUUGACCUCAGUUGGCAAAUAUACACUCCAACUUUGACUCCGCACAUCUAGACACCUCAAUCGUCUCCACUGUAUCAGUAAAUUCUCCAACUUACAAGAUAAUAAUCUAGAUGCCUCCCAAGGGUUGUCCAUGGUAUACAAUAGGGACAAAUGGAGAUUCUAGUUGCCAAUGGAGACCAAGUAGUGAUGUCUACAUGUGCACUCUCAUCGCUCGUUUGGUACGAGGGAUAACUGAUAUCUAAUCUUGAGAUUAAUUUUAGGAUGAUUUUAUCCCAUGUUUGGUUGGGAUAAAAUCAUGGAAUAACUUAUCGCCAAAUUAGUUAUCUUGGGAUUGUAAUAUUAUUUUUGUCCCACGUUAAUGGUGGGAUAACAAUCCGGGAUAAUUAAUCCCAAAAUAAUUUAUUCCCAACUAGACGAGCCCUCAAAGUGUUUACUUGUCAGUUGAAGUCAAAUUUGAGGCGUUUAUUUAUAUAUUAUGCCUUUAUAAAAUCAGUUUCAACACUUAAGCUUCACACUCCCUCCGUUUCAAAAAAAUUGUCUAUUUUGACUUGGCACGGAGUUUAAGAAAAUAAAAAAAACUUUUGAAUCUCGUGAUCUUAAAUUAAAGUUAUAUCAAAUGUACCAAAUUACCUUUUGAUCUUGUGGUCUUAAAAUGUCACGUGAAAAGUUGUAAUUCAAGUAUUGUCAAACAAGGAAAAGGUCAUUCUUUUUGAAACUGACUAAAACGAAAAGUAGGUCAUUCGUUUUAAAACGAAGGGAGUAGUUAUUUACGAUCAACUAAUCCAAACAGGCUCCUAAUUAAAAAAUUCACACUUGAUUUUUUUCCUUUUUUGGAUACCCAUGGUACCCAUGGUGUCAAGGCCAGCUAUUGUGACCUAGACUAAAUCCACGGGAUACUUACCACCUCUUGCCAGCAACAGAUAUCAUCAGGUAACAUUAAACAUGAUUCAUUCGCUAAUGCAUUUCCCAAAUUAUUAAAUUUAUUAUUAUUCAAAAGGUAAUAUGGUAAAAUUAUCCCUAUCAUUUACUACUUCUUAAUUCAUGUGCCAAUAAGAAAGCGGACAAGUAAAAAUGGACGGAUGGAGUAGAUUUUUUUUAUAUAACAGUAGUGUCAAGGCCAGCUUUUGUGACCUAUACUAAAUACAAGGGAUACCUACCACCUCUCACCAGCAACAAAUAUCAGGUAACUUAUAACCUUACAAAUGAACAAAAUUGAAAUGAAAAAAAUAAAUCAAACCUCUUGCGACCUAUACUUAAUCCACAGAAUACCUACCACCUCUCACUAGCAACAGAUAUCAGGUAACUUAUAACCUUACAGAUGAACAAAAUUGAAAUGAAAAAAAAAAUCAAACCUCUAGUAAUCCAUACUAAAUCCAUAGAAUACCUACCACCUCUCACCAGCAACAGAUAUCAUAUCAGGUAACUUAUAACCUUACAAAUGAACAAAAUUGAAAUGAAAAAAGAAAUCAAACCUUUUGCGACCAAUACUAAAUCCAUAGAAUACCUACCACCUCUCACCAGCAACAGAGGUAACUUACAACCUUACAAAUGAACAAUUUUGAAAUGAAAAAAAAUCAAACCUCUUGCGACCUAUACUAAAUCUAUCGCCUCUCACUAACAACAGAUAUCAAGUAACUUAUAAACUUACAACUGAACAAAUUGACAUGAAAAAAAAGAAAAUCAAACCUUUUGCAACCUAUACUAAAUUCAUUACCACCGCUCACCAGCAACAGAUAUCAGACAACUUAUAACCUUACAAAUGAACAAUUUUGAAAUGAAAAAAAAAAAAUCAAACCUCUUGCGACCUAUACUAAAUCUAUCACCUCUCACCAGCAUCAGACAUCAAGUAACUUAUAACCUUACAACUGAAAAACUUGACAUGAAAAAAAAAGAAAACCAAACCUUUUGCGACAUAUACUAAAUCCAUUACCACCUCUCACCAGACAACUUAUAACCUUACAAAUGAACAAUUUUGAAAUGAAAAAAAGAAAUCAAACCUCUUGUGACCUAUACUAAAUCCAUAGGAUACCUACCACCUCUCACCACAGAUAUCAGGUAACUUAUAACCUUACAAAUGAACAAAUUGACAUGAAAAAAAAAGAAAAUCAAACCUUUUGCGACCUAUACUAAAUCCAUUACCACCUCUCACCAACAACAGAUAUCAGGUAACUUAUAACCUUACAAAUGAGCAAUUUUGAAAUGAAAAAAAAGAAAUCGAACCUCUUGUGACCUGUACUAAAUCCAUAGGAUAUCUACCACCUCUCACCAGCAACAGAUAUCAGGUAAAUUAUAGUAAUAACCAUACAAAUGAACAAUUUUGAAAUGAAAAAAAAAAAAGAAAACAAACCUUACACACGAAUGAACCAGAGAGAUUCUGUUCCCAGACUCGUACAGUUUUAUCAUCACUACACGAUGCGAUUACAUCCGGAGAACCCCAUACCCCGGUACCCUUCUUCCAAGCAAUGCCUAAAACCUUUACCAGUGUGUCCUUCAAGCUUUUGAAUAUCCUUCAAUUCAAAAUCAUCAUGUUGAAAUUGAUCAUCGCGGUGGAAUUUCCGCGGUGAAAUUAACAAUUUUUCUUAAUAAAUCUAGCAAGUUAUUUUCAGAUUUUUUGGGGAAAUUUAGCAGAUUUUGGUGUAUCUUUGAGUCUUAAGAGGAAGUGUGAAUGGAGAUGAAAAGGAAUAUUUAUAGGUUUAGGAAGUUAGUUACUAGCUUUAUAAGCUCAGUUAGACCCCUAUAGUUUUUAAAAUGAUAGUUAGACCCCUAUGGAUUUUAAAAUGACAUGUUACGUAAACAAUGUAAUACAUAAAUAGAUACUUAAAGUUAGUCUCAACUAGCAGGUAGGAACUCAGACUUUGAGAGUGCACGCUUAUUGUAUCCAGGGACGGACCUAUGACCAUCUUUUUGGUGCUCCGACGCUGGUUAAAUUUGAGGCAGGUUAGGUAUAAUUAUAUGAAAAAAUGCAUAAAAGUUGGUAUAAGACAUAGAAAAACACCAAGUAAAUCAAGAAGAUAUUUAGUGCUUUAGUUUUCAAGUAAACAUUAAAACUUUGAACAACAAUAUACGUGUUUGAACCUCCCAAGCACCCACGAUCCCUAAAUCUUGGGUCCACCACUAUUGUGCCUUAUGGAUACGUGAUGCUGAUGUGACACAUAAAUUUUGGAGGAGUUUAGAUAGAUCGUUUUGUAACAGAGGAGAUGAGUUGAGGUGUCUGAAUGUAUAUUUCUCAAAGUUUGAGUGUUUACGUGUCAGUUGAGGUGAAGUUUGAGUGUUUAUUUAUAUUGUAAAAAACAUACGUAAACAAACACUCAAACUUGAUCUCGACUGUCAAGUAAACAAUUCAACUUUGAAUAUGCAUAUCUAGAUAUCUCAAGUCGUUUCUACUGUACUAGUUGAAAUUUACAUACCUCCAAAAUUUAUUUAUCAUGCGAACAUCAACAUUGGAUGCCCGCGAGACAUAGUACAGAUAAAUUGGAGUAUCUAAUUAUGAGUCGAGGUGUUUAGAUGAACAGUCUCAAAGAUGAAGCACUUAUUUGGAAGUUGAGAUUAAAUUUGAAUAAUUGUUUAAUAACUUUUUAUAAUUCAAAUAGUAUAAUGAUCUUAGAAUAAAUAUGUUAAAAUAAUAAAAGAAUUUUGGGUCUUAAUUUUGAGUCUUUACUAUAAUUAAGAGUAUCAUCUAAAUUAGGACAUUUACCUUAAUAAAAAAUCUUAUCUAAUUUAGGUAAUUUUUACUAUAAUAAAGAGAAAUUAAUUACUUGACUAUUAUAGCUGAUUUUGACUUUUGAGGUGAUCUAUUUGUGUAAAUAAGUCCAUGUAUAAUUUUCUUUUUUAUGUGGGGUCUAUUGUUUUUUACUUUUCUUUUUGUGUGAAUGAGAUUUAAUUUCAUGAUUUUUGAAUUAGCUAAUCAAUAACAUAGAUUUUAUCUUAAAGAAAUACAUGUAUACUGUUUAAUAUUGUCAAAUAAACAUUGCAUAUAGACAUGUUUGAUAUUCAUCAUAUUUCAAGGCAAUAAACUUAUAAAAUCGAUCAGAAAUUCUAUCUUACAGGCAAUGAUAAUAAGAACUUAGAUAUGUUAUUCAUAAGACAGACUUAAUAACUUUUGACAGAUGUUUAAAAUAUUUUAUGACAGUGAAUCUGUUUGAUUGACCAUAAAUUCUAUCUUACAUGCAAAUGUUAGAAAAGGCGACAAAAAUUUAAGAUCAUACACUUUAAUAGAUAAAAGAGUUAGGGCAAAACGCAUGUUUAACAUGCAAAACUAGGCGCGUCCAGCUUAAAAUCUAAAUACAUAAUACAUAAAUAUAACCUUAAACUUUGACAGUGCACAAAUAUGAUAUUUAACUAUUCAAAACUGCAUAAAUAUAACCUUUAAAUGACUUUUCACUAUUAUUUUUUAAUUAUUUUUGGCUCAAAGAUGAAAAUGACAUCUAAUUUCUUUUGUCAUUGCAGAAAAAAGCAAUAUUGAAGAUUUAUUAAUUAGGUGGGUCAGCCUCAUACGAAAAAAUUGCGCGGGUAUGUAUAUAUAUUAUAAAGCAGAGGAGAAUUUAAAUUAUAUAAUAUAUCUAAAUAUAAUUUAUUUAAAUAUUAAAUUAAAGAUGAAACUAUACUAAUAAUAAAAAAAUUAUAGUUUUAAUAAAAUGUUAUUAAAUUAACGUUAUUAAGAAUAGUAGUAGUAGUAUAUUAAAUUAGCGUUAUUACAAUGUUAUUAAAUUAACGUUAUUAAAAUAUUAUUAAAUUAAUGCAGGGGCGGACCUACGUGGUUGCCAUGGGGUUCACCUGAACCCCCUCGGUAAAAAAAAUACGUUAUCUAUAUAAGGUAGAAAAUCUAUAUGUAUGUAUGUAUGUUAAUGUUGAACCACAUGAAACAAGACACUUAGAUAGUCCAGUGGUGUUAUUUGCUCUUCCUGGGCGCUUCCUUCAGCUUAUUGCGCGGGUUUGAUUUUUUAAUUAAAAAAAAAGUUAGAUGUUGCAGCUAUAGAAAUAAAAUAAUAAUAAUAAUAAAAAUAAUAAUAAUAAUAAUAAAAACGAUGCCUUUUUAACACAAAAUUUUGACAGUGCACAAAUAUGACCUUUAAUUAUUUAAAACUGCAUAAAUAUGACCUCCCUCCAAAUCAACCCUUUUAACGAUGUGGCACCGUGUGAUUGGAUUACCUUUCCACGUAGGCGCGAGUAAAACUCACGGAUGGAAUUAUAAAAUUAGAGGUCAUAUUUGUUCAGAUUUUGAAUAGUUAAAGGUUCUAUUUGUGCACUAUCAAAGUGUAAGAUCAAAGUUCUAAUUUGGUAUCAAAUUUAAAAUUAUUUUUAUGUAUUAACUCUAAAUAAAAUUUUAAGAUCGAGUAUUUGAGAGAAAAAAUUUAAUACCGAACACUUUAAAUGACUUGCACAUAAUUUUGUGGUUAAUAAUAUUCUAAUCCCUCAUAUCAAACUAGCUCUAAAAAUUAAUAUUAAUAUUCUACCUAUAAAGUGCCAAUACAUCAACUAAAAAUUGUUCAAUUUCUUUUACUUCAUAGUCUUAGCAUAACUGAUAAAAUUAUUACAUACGUAGUCAGUUAAAUACAUGCAUAAUCAGUAGAUUUUUAUAGUUCCACUUUUUUCUCGAACGAGCUUAGUGGUUGGUGCUGACCUUUUGCAGCCCAUAUGCACACCAACUGUUUGUUAUAAUGCCUAGCUGAUACAAUUCAAAAUAAACUUCAACAACUUUCAGUAUAUUUUUUUUUUAACAAUCGUAAUGUCUGGACUAGCUUUUGUGCAUGUCCACUAAAUCCGCGAAACUCUUGUCAUCUCUCACUCAUAACAAAUAUCACGUAACUCUGUCCACUAAUGCUAGAACAUAUGUAUAGUGUCUGGAUCAGUUUUCACGCACCUUGACUAAAUCCACAGGAUACCUGCCAUCUUCACUGGCAACAUAUAUCACGUAAUUCUUUCUACUAACGCUAGAACAUAUCCAUAGUGUCUGGACCAACUUUCAUGAACCUCGACUAAAUCUAGAGAUACCUGCCAUCUGCACCAGCAAUAUAUAUCAUGCAACUCUAUCCAGCAAUGCUAGAACAGAUAAGAAGAAUCACCUAGUGUUGUUUUGUCUCCAUUGGAAUUCAAACCUGAGACCUCGUGCUUUCAACUCACUUAAUUGACCACGAGGCUGCACCAUAUUUUGCAUUCGGUCGCUUUUUAGAAUGUUCCGUAGACGAGUUGUAUCAAUAUUAAAUCUUGGUAGCAAUGCAGCAUUAUCAACUAUAAGUAAAUCAGCAAUGGAAGCUCUACCAAGAAAGCUGAAAAAGGCGGAAAAGAAGCCGUGGGUGACGAGUAUUCACGAGCUUAAGCGGAGAGGAAGAGUGGACAAACAAGAGAGAAGAGUGGUACGUGAAGUUGCAUUGCAGCCACCGGAAAAUGGACUGUUAGUUGAAAAGCUAAUACCAGUUGCUCAUCAGGUUUUAGCUUCAAGAAAUCAGUUGUUAGCUUGUGUUUCGAGGAUAUCGGAGGAUAUUCCUAUUUAUUUUUGCAGGUAAAGAUUCAUUUUGCAUUUAAACUUACUUGAUUGCAACUGACAUGUAAAAGAUCUUAAAUCCUAUGGUAGCGGUUUAUUCUAGGAAGAAAAACGUAAUCUUUCCCACUCUUGGUGGCUUCCCCUCUAUGGUGUUAAUGGUCAAACACACGCCUAAAAGUCACACCUUGAUAGUGAGUUGGAACUAAUCAUAUGUAAAAGAUUUUACAUCCUAUGGUAGUGGUUCCUUCAAGUAAGGAAAAGGGACUAUUUAGUCUCUUCCACGCCUGGUGACUUCCCCUCUAUGGUGUUGAUGGUCAAAAACACGCCUAAAAGUUGCACUUUAAUAGUGAUUUGGAACGAAUUAUAUGUAAAAGAUCUUACAUCCUAUGGUAGUGGCUCCUUCGAGUAAGGAAAAGGGACUCUUUAGUCUCCUCCACGUCUGGUGACUUCCUCUCUAUGGUGUUAAUGGUAAAAAACACGCCUAAAAGUCGCACUUUGAUAGUGUGUCGAAACUAAUCAUAUGUAAAAGAUCUUACAUCCUAUGGUAGUGGUUCCUUCGAGUAAGGAAAAAGGGCUCUUUAGUCUUUUCCACGUUUGGUGACUCCUCUUCGGUGGAGUUAAUGGUCAAAAACAUCCGUGACAGUCGCACUUUUAUAGUUAAUGGAAGCUUACUUUAUGUCUGGUUAGUAGGAUUUUUUUGCUUGCGAAGGGACUAGCCCAUGUUAGACUGAGAAGUUAGAGUUUGUAACUGAAGUCUUUAUCUUUUUCGCGAGUCCCACAACCGCCAACUAUCAGCUUUUUUACCUUUUUCAACCUAAACUAUCACCAUUCUCACUUUUCCUAUCUGAAUUCUGAAUCAUAACAAAUUUUGAAUUAAAACACACCGCGAAGCUAGCUAGGACAAUUUCUAGUUGUUCCAUUUUUCUACCUGAAUUAUCACUAUAUACUCAACUAGGUGAGUUUUAACACAUAGUCGUCAUAGUUCAGGUAAGAUAAGGGAACAACUGAUAGUUAAGGUGUGAAAUUCGCGGAAAAAUGAUAGUUCAGGUGUUUUUAUGGCAAUUAACUCUAUGUAAACCGGAACUCGGUUUUAGUAGAAGAGAAGCAUGGAGAAAAUAUGGCGAAUUGUUGCUGAUAGUAUUACCGGGCAGAGCGUAUUUUUGUGAAGGAAAACUGAUCUGAAGUCCCAAUAAAGGUGUACGGUUGUGGACUUGUGGUAGAUUGAGGAUUAGCUUACUAUUAGUCAGAUAUGAUACUCGUUACUUAUUGUUAUGCAGAGACUUAGCUAAGAGCACAACGCGAUAGAAGUAAAUGAUCCUUAUAGGCGAUAUCAACCAGUUCAGAUUAAACUAGUUAUCAAGAUAUGUGAGAUUAAGAAUCCUAAUUUCUGUAGAAGGCAAAUUACUUGGUAAGGGGUUCGAUAAUAUUUGGUUCAAGUUGAAAAAAAAAUGUUUUGACGUGAAUUUCGCUUAGAGAAAAGUUGAAAUUUUGUGAGUGGCUAAAACAUAACGGAUAUAGAAGAUUCAUAUAGCUGACUCCUGCUGAUUUGGAGUCGAGGUCUAGUUAAUCGAUGGAAGAUUAUCUGGCAACUCAUUAUGAAAUGCGACAGUUAAAAUCGUUGUGAUCUCUGUCCUUUUUUGCAGCUUAUGUACUGAAGUUCAUGUUGGUCAUCCACCACAUAAGAUCAGAACUUGCAACGUUAGCGGCAGUCAGAAGAACAAAGAACAUACAUGGAAAAGAGGGGGCGUAGAUCAUGUAUUACCUGUCGUAGAAUCUUUUCAUCUCUACGACAGGUUGGGAAGAGCAGUUUCACAUAAUGAACGACUUCAAGUUGAUCGCAUCCCAGCCCUUGUGGAAUUGUGCAUUCAGGCUGGUGUGGACUUACCUGAAUAUCCAACCCGAAGAAGGAAGUUCCCCGUUUACCGGGUUGCUGGAAAACUCAUAGAUUUUGAGAAGAGGUUUCCCAAGGAUGAUUUUUCCGAGAAGGACAUAGAGUCUUUUCGGUCUAGGGGAACUAUUAAGAAGCCCAUCGGAGAUGAAAAUCAUUUGAAUUUACCCUAUGAUGACAUAAAAGGUAUGUUUUAUGUUACUACAAUGCUUUUUCUUAUAAUUGUUGUCAUUUCUCAAUGUGAACUAUUAAGAGGCGCACCGGAGAUGAAACUUAUUUUGAAUUUGCACUGAGUUUAAGAAAGUAAAGACGGCUUUUGAAUCUUGUGGUCUUAAACUAAAUAUCCUUUAGUGCUCUUAAACAUGUCAUGUGAAAGUUGAAAUUAAAGAGUUGCCAGAAUAGGAAAGAGACAUUCUUUUUAAAAUGAACUAAAAAGGAAAGCAAGACAAACAAAUCGAAAUGAAGGGUGUAUUUCUUAUGGUAUGCCGAACCUUUUAGUUUGAUUUUCCGCUACUUUUUAUCUCUUCACCAGGAUUCGCUGUGCGAGGAGUGGAAGCUUGGGAAAUUUUGCGUACUGGAGCCAUACAACUCAUGCAAACGUAUGGUGUUCAAACAUGUGGAUAUUGUCCCGAGUUGCAAGUUGGUCCGAAGGGUCAUCGGGUUAGGCAAUGUCAAGCCUUCAAGCACCAGAUGAGGGAUGGACAGCAUGCUUGGCAAGAAGCAACGAUAGACGAUCUUCUCGCUACUGUAUAUGUCUGGCAUGUGCGAAACCCACACGCUGGUGACCUUUUGGUAGAUUCUUUGAAGAGGUAUUACGGAAAGUUACCUGCGGUCCUUGAACUGUUUAGUCAAGCUGGAGCACAAGUCGGAGAUGAUUACUAUCGCAUGAUGAGGGAAGAUGUCGUAGUUCCUGAACUAGAUGAAGAAAAAUUUGUUGUAUAAAGCUCUGAAAUGCUGGCCAACAUAUUGCCAGAGGAAAAGGAUCAUUGAACCGAGCUUGUUGUUUCGUUGGUUUGAUUGUUGCUGGCGAGGAUUACCCAAGACUAUCGUUGCAAGGGCUCGUUGAUUGUUAGGGUAAUCUACGCGGAUUCUGGGAGUUGGAAAUUCAACUUCACAUGAACCUUAAAGAAUGUUGUGAAUACAUGUAAAAGAAGUUUGUCGUGUUAAACAAGAAUGUAAACAAGGCCAUAGUUAAUUUAUUAGUCCUUCGUCUCAAUUUAUGUGGCAUAAUUUUACUAUGCAUGGAGUUUAAAAAUCGAAAACAUUUGGAAUUUGUAGCUUUCUGUCUAUAAAGCAUGUCAUUAAGGGCACAACGCACUAAGCUCCCACUAUGUAUGAAGUACCGAGAAAGGCCGGGCCGGGCCGGACCACAGGGGUCUAUUGUAUGCUAUCUUCCCUUGCAUUUCCGCAAGAGGUUGUUUCCACACCUCGAACCCGUGAGCUUCUGGUCACAUGACAACAACUUUACUAGCUAUUCCAAGACUCCCCUUAAAGUGAAAACUAUUUCAAACUGUAAAAAGACAUCUUGUUUUAACGGACUAAUAAGGAAACAGUGUCGCAUAAAUUGAACGGGAUAACCAAAGUGAUAAACUUGUGUUUUCAUUCAAAAAGCAUAACAUAAUCAAGUAAAUACAUGCUCAUAUGUUACUUUUAAGGUAUGCAUAUAUAUGCCUUACAGGGUGAUCUUCUGCAACCAGCCACGAACGGUUACAGCAUAGUAAAUAAGGCAGAAACAUCGCUGCUGUUCUCAGAUCUUCGAGGCAAAGCCGAUGCCCUCCUGUGCCAAUUGAUCCAAGGUAGCAGCAGGUUGAACUUUUGCAACUUUAGCGAGUGCCUUGUUCUCUUCUGGUGUCCCACUCUCGAGGAAUGCGCCAACGAUCUUUCCAUCUUUGAUCCAGUAUUGUCCGAACUUGUGAGUUGCAGAGUUGGGAUCAGUGUCCCCAAAGAGCACUGUUUCACCCUUGUUGUCACCAUAGAAUUGCCAAGACAAAUCGAAGGCACGGGAGUAGAAGUAUGGAAGGUAGUCAUAUUCAUCGAUGGACUUCCCUUGCUCGUUGGCAUAUAUCGCCUGCACCAGCAACAACGUAACAUUAACAUUUACUAUCAUGACUCAUGAGACCAGUGAAGAAUAACAUGUUAUAAUCAGGAUGACAGUAUAACGCUUUCAUGUUAACUCUCGACAGCAUCAGGGAGCCGUCGCUUACCUUGACAGCCUGCUCAGCAGAUUUGCGAGAAUGAUCAACAUGUUCAACUCUUCUAACAUCGUUGUACAUUUUCAUCGGGAAAGUGGCAACAUCACCUACAGCGUACACAUCAGGUGCACUUGUUUUGAAGAAAGCAUUUGUCUGCAAAACAGAAGCCUCGGCAUAAGUACUGAAAUUCAGUAAGUUCGAAUGGAACAUGACACAACGCGCUGUAAUUUUGAUAGAAACUAGCAACAGACAGCUUAUAUCUCUGACGAGAACACAGCUUUGGUCGGACAAGAAAACUAUGUUGUUUCCUUAUCGACAAGUUCGAGGAUUUCCGGUUUUAUUAGAACGAUGAGUACUGAACAGCGAGCACACACCUUAAUUCCUCUUAUAUCGGUUUCAACUUGCCCUUCGAAUAGACUGGUGAGUGGUAUUGCUCCGACUCCUACGACUACUAUGUCAGCUUCCAAAACUCUGCCGUCUUUAAGUUUGACCGCCUUCACCUGCAAAAUGGAAACAAGAAUGCGGUGAGGUAAUGCGCUAAAGCUCAACGAGAUUUCUCAAAAUGGUGCAGUCUUUAGAAAAACCUCUCCAUUUGGAUGGGUAUCGAAUCCAACAGCCGUUGUACCCUGAUCAUAUUGACGCCCUUUUUCUUGUAGUAACCUUCAUAGAAUGCAGCUAUGCCCUCGGUGAAAAGCCGAGGUACUGCAAAAAGCAAAAGGACUAUCAUGAAACAGUUCAACGUUGCAUGCUAUGCGUACAGUGUGGGAACUAGAAGAAAUUUACUUACUGCACCAUGGUUCUGGAUAAACCAUAUCGACUUCAAUAUUGUUCAUUCUCAGUACAGCAGUAAGCUCGAGACCGAUUUACCCUCCUCCAACAACUACGGCCUUUGCAUUUUUGUUAGCUUUUAAUGCUUCCACAAUAUUAUCCGCGUCAUUGAUUUCUCUCAAGUAGAAUAUGUUCUUGGAAUCGGCACCUUGUACACCAAAAUCUGACAACUUCAAAACCUGAACAGACACGGAACAAGAAAUGUUCAUGUAAUGACAUAUGACAAAAAGUAAAAAUAUACAACACAACCAAAUUUCCAAGAGACUCACAGUGGAUCCAGUCGCGAUAACAAGUUUUUCAUAUUUAAAAGAUUCCCCGGCUGCACUAACAAGAGUCUUUGAAGCAAGAUCCGCUUUCACUAUAUAGGUACUCAGGAUCAACGAUAUGUCUGCAAGAAGAGAUCAUAUGAUUCAUAAGAGAUGUGUCUUCAACGAGAUAUACCACUAUAUGUAAAGGUAGCUCGUGAGGGGAGGAUUGCCAAGACCAUAUAAGGAGACCAAGGACCCUUUAACCAACCGAUGUGAGACUCCAACCCCUCCCCCCCCACCCUGCAUACCAAGGACUGGACAUCUGGCGCGUGGACAAUAUAAGAUAGGGGACCCAACAACGAAAACGAUGAAUUGGGUGGGGCUGACUCUGAUACCAUGUUAAAGAAUGGAUCUCGAGCCUAACUCAACCUCAAAAGCUAGCUCAUGAGGGGAGGAUUACCCAAGACCAUACAAGGAGACCAAAGACCCUUUAACCCACCGAUGCGAGACUCCAACAAAGUCGACAGAAGUCACGCUUGACCAUAUGUCUGCAUAUUAUUACCUUCCAACACAUUCACGAAAAAUUAUUGCCUGCAAGAAAACACAACAAAAUUAUUACCUUUCUCUGCAUACCACUCGGGAAGCUGUUUCUCUCCUCCACUUCCAACGCACACAUGAAACCCUGGGAGUCUAGCAGCUCCUGGUAGAUAAAUGGAAUAUCAAAAUCGAGUAAAGCACAUUUUCAGAUGUGUAACACAUCUUUUACUCAAGUCCGCCUCCAUACGACCAUACACUAAAGUCGAAAUUAACUAUCCAAGUAGAAAGAAGACUUGCCUUCAGGGAAAAGGUAUGCCUUGCUAAGUGCGGGGCGUUCAUAAGGAGCCACCUGAGGUAGAAAAAAGAUACAUUUUUCGCAAUAUGAUCAAAUCUAACACUAUUUUUCUGAAAGACGGAAAGAUUGUUAGAUACGAAGUUGCAAAUAUUCCAACCCGAGAGGAUUAGUAUCGUGAUUGGAACUCAUUUCGCAAAGAAUACUUACCGCUUCUUUGGAAAUAAUAGCCAGUUCCCCAGGCUUAACUCCCUGCUUUGCGAAUUCUCUAGCGGCAUACCCCUGCGAAUGCAACCAAACUUGUUCAAUUCAUUUAUGACCACAAAAAAAGGCAGUCCGGUGCACUAAAGCUACCGCUAUGCGCGGUGUCCGGGGAAGGGUCCCACCACAAGGGUGUAUCGUAUGCAGCCUUACCUUGCAUUUCUGGCCAGAGGCUGUUUCCAAGGCUUGAACCCGUGACCUCCUAGUCACAUGACAGUAACUUUACUAGUUACGACCACAAAUUCAAAAAUCUGAAUAGCCAUACAUAUUAUAUCUGAAAGAAUCCGAAUCAUAUAUUAUCUCAUAUAAGAAGCUAACUGGUUAAACGCUUCACGAGGAAUGCCAAAUUAGGAAACUUAUAUGCCAAUUCCAUUUCGACAGCAAACAAAAAUAGUGAAAGAGAUGAGCUUACCUACAACGAAACUCUAGCAAACACGCGCGCACACACACACAACUCGUAUGUAUACGAGCAUAUGUGUCUGUUUGUAUCCAACCAAUCAAAGACAUCUACUAUUUCUAAGCAACGACAACAACAACAUACGCAGUGAAAUCCCACAAAGUGUAGUCCGAGGAGGAUAUAGAGGUUGUUUCCGAAAGACUACUAUUGCUAAGCCAAACGACAAGAUAGAGUUAUGACAUGAUCUCUUGUUCUCAGUAUCUACGCAAGGCAACUCGUAGGUUCUACAUUUUCAAAUUGCUUUGUACUCGAAGCUUCCCGCUCCAUUUCGAAGCAACUCAUUUCAACAGCAAACAAAAUAGCGAAAGAGAUAAAGCUUAUCUACAACAAAUUCUAGCCAGCGCGCGCGCACACACACACAACUUAUAUGUAUAUGAGCAUACGUGUCCGUGUCUAAUCACUUCGUGCUCAAAUCCACCAACUCCCUCGCGAAGCAAAUCAACUACUCCAGAGCAGACUAAAGCUUCGAAAGGAGAUAAUUCUCUCUUUCAGACUCCAUAAUCUAUGGUUGUUACGUACUGUUUCAUAAUGUAUCGUAUUGUAUUGUAUUGUAUUGUAUUGUAUUGUAUUGUAUUAUGUUGUAUAAAUUCUAUGUUGCUCGGACUCUUCAAGAAUGUCAUCGGGCGCGUGUAGGAUCCUUCAAAAGUAGAGCAUUUUUGGAGGAUCCGACACGAGUGCGGCAGUAUAUUUGGAGAGUCCGAGCAACUUAGGUUGUAUUGUAUGGUAGUAUAUUGUUAUAAUGAAUACAACAUUUGGAUAGAUUGUAUCAUUUUCAGUCGUUACAUAAUCUCGCACAUCAAUAAUUUGAACGAUAGAUAAAUCUACUCGAAAAGUAGGAUACGAAGUCGAGCUACGAUAAAAAGGUAGGAUGAAUGAUCAAAUAUGAUUAUUAAAUAAGGAAACGACGCGAUACCAUCAAAUCGAUGGUCAGAUAAAAUGAGGCUUUUCGUGGUUACCUAAACAUCGAAUCAAACCAUAUUAUACAAUCUCUUUUAAGUAACGAUCAAAACAAACAUGGUAUUGGUACGAAAAAAUGAACUAUAUGUAUUCGUAUCCCUCAAGGAUUUCACAUUUAUCAUAAGAAAAAAUGCACAUAUACAUCAAAUUGUGUGCAUUUAUGUGUUGUAUACUUACUCUGUCUCAAUUUAUGUGGCACUUUUUGCUUCUCGAGAGCCAAACAAUCUAAGUUUGACCGUGAAUUUGAACAUGAAAUUUUCAAACUUUUUGAAUUGAAAUUUAUAUAUUUGUAAACUACGUAAAGGGUACGUUAUAAGUCACAAUUAUAGACAAUUCAAAAUAUUUAAAAAAUACAUGAAAAAAAAUUGAAAACUACGUAAAAAGUACGUAAUAACUCACAAUUAUUGACAAUUCAAAAUAUGUAAAACAUAAAACUACUUAAUAAGUCACAAUUAUUGAUAAUUCAAAACAUUUAAAACACAUGAAAAAUAUUACGGUCAUGAUAGACUUGGUUGAAUCUCGAAAUCUGAAGGGUGACACAUAAACUGUGACAAAGGAAGUAAAUGUGUGCUAAAUCAUCACAAAAUAAUCAACAAAUUAAGCCUCUUGAUCACCAUAUACAUACAUAUACAUAUAUACAUACAUAUAAAUAUACAUACAUAGACAUACAUAUAUACAUAUUCAUAUACACACACAUACAUACAUACCACACAUACAUACAUACAUACUUACAUAUACAUAUACAUAUAUAUACACAUAUACAUAUACAUAUAUAUACUCACCGCAGCAACACCGCCACCGACGAUAAGGUAUUUGAAAGAUUUAUCUGCCAUUGAUGAAAAAUUGUUGAGUUUUUUGUUAAAGAUGAAAAUUUAAUGUGAAAAUGAAAUGAGAGAAGAAAGAGUAUUUAUAGGUUUGGUUUGUUAACUAGUUACUAAAUUUAUAAGCUAAAAAUUAGGCCCCUAUAUAGUUUAAAAAUGACAAAAUAAGUAAAUAGAUUCAGUUAAAUAAAAAUAGAUUCAGUUAAAAUAACUAAAGUAGAAAAUCAUAUUGCAUGAAAAGAAGAGUUUUAUUUGCAUGAAAUUCAAAUUAACUUUGUUCUUUUCGUUUAUAAUAAACGUUGAAGUGAAAAAUAUCAUACAAUAAUAUAUUUGAGAUAUAAUAUUUAUUUAUAUUAUUUAAAUAGAUGUAUCAUUUUUUAACGUUAAUAUAUUGCUACUUUCUUAAUAUUAUUCUUAAUUCUUAUGUAUAUUCUAUUGAUUGAUGUGAGAGACACGUGCAAAACAGGUACACUAAUCUAGUUAAAAUAAAAAUUGGACCCACUAAUUCGGUAUUGUUGUGGGUUGGGUUUAAUUUUAGGGCAUAUGAAAUAAAUUCUAACAGUUUAGAGCUUAAUUACAUAAAAUUCUGACAUUUUGCAUACUUAUUGAAAUCCCGAUUUUGGGUCUGUCAAGAUAUAUAAUAAACUUCUGAUGUAAUUUUUUUGAUUUUGGGACUAUCAAGAUACAUAAUACAUCCAACGAAGAUACAAUUUUUUUCUUUAUAAAGAUACACAAUUAGCUUUCAAUAUAUUUUUUCUAAUUUUGGGUCCGCCAAGAUACAAAAUUAGCUCCCGAUACAUCCAGCGAAGAUAUACAAUUGGUUGAGAUUUUUAUAAUUAUUUUAUAAGAGUGCGGAAUUAUGUAAAUAUGGUAAGUUAGGGUCUAUGUUUAUGUUAUUUUGGCUUAAUUUUAAUGGAUUCGAUUUUUAGUUUUGAUUUUAAGUAAUAUUGGUUGAUUUAAAUUUGGUGACGUGGACCUCUAAUAAGAGGACACACGACAAAAAUAGUUUUGAAAAACCACCGUUAGAAAAAAUGGCACAAAUGAAUCUUUUAUGUAACAGUAGUGGCAUAGAUGAAUCAAACUCUUAACGAAUGACAUAGAUGAGUCAUUUCUGACAGUUCGAUGACAUUUGAGAUUAUUCACUAGUUUUAAAAUUGAAAGAAUACGUAAAUAAACACUUAAAUUUGGUUUCAACUGUCAAGUGAACACUUAAAUUUUUUAAAUAUGUACAUCUAGACACCUUAAUUUGCUCCAUUAUAAGCUGAUGAUUAUACCCCUUAGUUUUAAAAUGACACACACAUAAACAAACUAUAGAACUUGGUCUUAGCUAUCAAAUAAACACUCGAACUUUGAAUAUAUAUAUCUAGGUACGUCAACACGCCUCAACUGUACCAGUUGAACACACUAAUUUACAAACUGAUCAUUUAGACAACACGUCAGCGUCGGAACCUUAUCUUUGGGCAAGGGUCUAUUGUGUGCAACUUUAUCUUGCAUUGCUACAGACGUUUUCACAACUCAAACCUGUGAGCUCCUAGUCACGUAGCGACGACUUUACCAGUUAUGCCAAGUCUCCACUUCACAAUGUGAAGUUCAAAGUCAAACUAUUUAUAAAUGUAGAAAGGUGUUCUUUUGUAACAGACUAAAAAGUAAACAUUGUCACGCGCUACCCCCAUAAUGUGCCCUGCAAUGCGCGAUCCGGAUUAAUCGGAGCUCCAAUGCGGGCACCGAAAACCGGGUGGGAAACCCCCAAAAACAAAAAGUAAACAGUGUCACAUAGUACUCACUGUCUUUGUGCAUUAACCAAAGUGAUAAACUCUGUGUUUUUCAUUCAAUAAGCGUGACAUAAUAUAAAUACAUGCUCAUAUGUCACACUCCUUAAGGUAUGUAUAUAUAUGCCUUAAAGAGUGAUCUUCUGCAACUUAAUUCAGAUGAAGAAACAUCAUAUUUAACCAAUCAACCAGGCACGAAAAACUGUCAGACGGUUACACAACAUAGUAAAUAUCGCGGAAACAGUGAUGUUUUUAGAUCUUUGAGGCGAAGCCGAUGCCCUCCUCUGCCAACUGAUCCAAGGUAGCAGCUGGUUGAACUUUUGCAACUUUAGCAAUUGCCUUGUUCUCUUCAGGUGUUCCACUCUCGAGGAAUGCACCAACGAUCUUUCCAUCUUUGAUCCAGUAUUGUCCGAACUUGUGAGUUGCAGAGCUGGGAUCAGAGUCCCCAAAGAGCACUGUUUCGCCCACAUUAUCACCAUAGAAUUGCCAAGACAAAUCGAAGGCACGGGAGUAGAAGUAUGGAAGGUAGUCAUAUUCGUCAACGGACUUCCCUUGCUCGCUGGCAAAUAUUGCCUGCACCAGCAACAAUGUAGGAAUUAAUAUUUUUUACUUCAUCGAUAAAUAAUGGGAAGUUUAGGAUUCAAACUGCAUUUCACGAGUUCAUUGAAAGAGUAGAGAGCUGUUCUAACUCAUGCAGCAAUAACAAAUAUACAGAAGCAAGGACAUAAACAACCAGUAGGCACGUAGAAUGGAGAGAGUAUUUCAGUAUUUGAACACCCUAAUCUACGUGUGUACUGUGUUUCAACUAUCCAGUUUAUAUCAUGACUCAUUUAGAGCAGAAUCAUAGGUGAUCAGUGAUGAAUAACGUAUUAUAAGAAGGACGACAAUAUAACUCGGGACAGCAUCAGUGAGCUGUCACGUACCUUGACAGCCUGCUCAGCAGAUUUGCGAGAAUGAUCAACAUGCUCAACUCUUCUAAUAUCAUUGUACAUUUUCAUCGGGAAGGUGGCAACAUCACCUACAGCGUACACAUCAGGUACACUUGUUUUGAAGAAGGCAUCAGUCUGCAAAUAGAAGCCAAGGCGUAAGUAUUGCAAUUCAGUAAGUUUGAAUGGAACAUGACACAAUGUGUCAUAAUUAAGAUAGAAAGUAGAAACAAGAAACAGACAGCUUAUUGCUCGACAAGAACACACAGGUUUGGUUUGAGAAGAAAAAAUAUUUGUUUCCUUGUCAGCAGCAAGUUCAAGGAUUUCUACUAUUUGAUACAAUUUCUAAAUGUAUUAUUAUUUCAUUUCUUUGUAUUGCGCAAAGUAAAAUCCAUCGAUCUGUUCUUUCAAAUCAUCUCAGCAGCUCUCAUCUACUUUUGAAGCUUAUACUGAACUAUUAAAUUUUUUCUGGUACAUUAUACUGGACUAUUUUAAGGUUUGACCGUGAAAAUGACAAAAUCAUCUACUUUAGUGCACCGGGCUGCCCUUUUUUUUACCGUGAAAAUGACAAAAUCAUCGAAAAGCACGCAAAUCAGAACUUAUUAAAGGAUGAGUACUGAGCAGUGAGCACACACCUUAAUUCCUCCCUUGUCCUCAUCAACUUGCCCUUUGAAUAGAGUCGUGAGUGGUCUUGCUCCAACUCCUACGACUACUAUGUCAGCAUCCAGUACUCUGCCAUCUUUAAGUUGGACGGACUUCACCUGCAAAUUGGAAACAAGAACGCUGUGAGGUAAUGCUCUAAAAGCUCAACAAGAUUUCUCAAAAUGGUGCAGUCUUGAGAAAAACCUCUCCAUUUGGAUGCGUAUCAAACCCAACAGCCACUGUACCCUUGAUGAUAUUGACUCCCUUGUUCUUAUAAUAACCUUCAUAGAAUGCAGCUAUGCUCUCUGUGAAAAGCCGAGGCACUGCAAAAAGCAAGAGGAUUACAGUAAGAUUAGAAUACGAUUAAGCAGGAGAAUAUAUUCUCCAUAACUGACUACUAUCGAAAAGUUUUAACGUUUCAUGGUAUGCAUGCAGCGUGGGAACUAGAAGAAAUUUACUUACUGCACCAGGGUUCCGGGUAAACCAUAUUGACUUCAAUGUUGUUUAGUCUCAGUACAGCACUAAGCUCAAGACCGAUGUACCCUCCCCCAACAAUUACAGCCUUCCCAUUUUUCUUAGCUUUUAAUGCUUCCACAAGCUGAUCAGCGUCAUCAAUUUCUCUCAAGUAGAAGAUGUUCUUGGAAUCAGCACCUUUUACUCCAAAAUCUGACAAUUUCAGAACCUGAACAUAAACAGAACAAUAAGUUCAUGUAACGACAAGAGUAAUAUAUACGACAGAGCCACAAUUCCAAGAGACUCACAGUGGAUCCAGUUGCAAUAAGAAGUGUCUGAUAUUUAAAAGAUUCCCCAGCUGAACUAACAAGAGUUUUUGAAGCAAGAUCUGCUUUCACUAUUUCGGUACUCAGGAUCAACGAUAUGCCUGCAAAACGAGACCAUAUGGUUCAAAAGAGAUGUAAUCUGGAAUUUAUAAGAGAGGUGUUUUUAACCAGAUUUAUCACCAUUAUGUAAAGUUGACAGAAGUCAUGCACGACCAUACGUCUGCAAAUAAUGCAUAAACACAAAGAAAUUAUUACCUUUCUCUGCAUACCACUCAGGAAGCAAUCUCUCUCCACCACUUCCAACGCACACAUGAAACCCUGGGAGUCUAGCAGCUCCUGGUAGAUAAAGGUCAAUCUAAGAUGUUAGGGAAAAGGAAUUUCUAAUACAAGGUUACAUUAAGAAUAUAUAUGUCCAGCUGCUUUUUGGAAUAGCUUUUUAUGACAAAUUACAUGAGAUGACAUUCUGUAUAAUAAAUCAUGCUCAAAUUUUUCUUUCCAUCAUCUUCUUUGCCGCAAGGAGAAUAAUCAUUCUACAAGAAAAAAGCGAGCGGCCAGGACUUUACUCUGGAGAAAGAUAAGAUGCAUUUUCUGCAGUCCUAUCUAAUACAAACUUUUGUUCAAGUCCAUACCACCACAGACUUAAGUCAUAUCCAAGGAAAGAGAAACUUGCCUUCAGGAAAAAGGUAUGCCUUGCUAAGUGCCGGACGUUCAUAAGGAGCCACCUGAGGUAGAAAAAACAUUUUUUAGAAAUCAGAUCAAAUAUAACACUAUUUUACUGAAAGAAGGAAAGAUUGUUAGACACAAAGUUAAUGAGAAAUAGCGAUAAAGUGUAGAUAGUAGCAAAGAAAAACAUCUAGCACAUUAUGGGAUAAGAGAGGUGUGAUCAGAAACUCCAAAAGCAAAGAAGGAACAAAUUCUUAAGCAGAUGGUAGAGGAUUAAGAGAUUUUUUCUUUCCAAAUUGACAAACAUAUGUCAAAGGGUCAUUUACAAUUUUGUAUAUUAGCUAUGAGACAGUGAAUGAAUGCUUUUAAGCAAUUUACAAGCAUAACCUGAUGAAAUAUUAGCUCAUAGCACCAAACAUAACAGAAUUUAGAGAUUCUUGUAGAUAAAAACUAAUUGGAAUACUAAGGUAAAUCUAGUGACAUAUAAUACAUGAUAUUAAGAGAAGACAAAAUGAAUGCUCCCUUCUCCAGAAUUAAGUCCACGCAGGCAGCAAACAACUCUGAUUUACAAUUGAAAUUAGUGAAGGCAAGAAAGAAAUUAAAAAUACUUACCGCCUCUUUGGAAAUAAUAGCCAGUUCCCCAGGCUUAACUCCUUGUUUCGCGAAUUCUCUAGCGGCAUAUCCCUGCAAAUACACCCAAACUUGUUCAUUUCAUUUACAACUAUUCAAUAACAGCAAGAUUUGUUCCAAAAAGAGCUCAGACAAAACUAGAGAAUUUUGAGGAAGUUGUUAUAAUCCUUUUCUUUUCAAAGAAACCGGAACAUUUGUUAUCCCAAAGAAGAAGCUAACUGCCUAAAUGCUUCACAGUGAAUGACAAAUAACGAAACUUAUAUGCCAUUUCCACUAUUAUAAUAUAAGAUUUACAGUUAUAGUAUCCAAUCAAUCAAAUAUAUCUACAGUUUCUAUGCCAACGGACAAAAUAGAGGAGCUUUAACUCAUCAAAAAACGUUUGAUUUUGUGUCAACUAGUUAUAACCAUCCAAAGUAAAUAGAAAUAAUUAUGCCAUGAUCGCUUGCUCCCAGUAUCUCCAUAAGACAACUAGUAUGUUCUACAUUUCAAAUCACUAGCAUCACAUACCAUCAAAUCCCAGUUUCCGAAAUACCACAUCAGCCUACCACCACUAAACCUAGGUUUUCAAGGGGCGCUAGGCAUCAGAAUUCAUAAAGUUCCUUUUUUUUCAAUCACCAGGUUUCGCUCAUCAAGUUGUUGUUUGAUCUACCAUUGUUAGAACACCAGAAUAUUCACCUUUUGGGGGGUUAACACCUUAGUAUCACGCCUCCAAGUCCAUUUUGAAGCAAGUCAAUUUCAACAACAAACCAAAACAAUCAAGGAGAUAAGCUUACCUACAACAACAUUCUAGCUCUCACACUCCAAAAUCUAACAACUUGACCAUUAAAAGGGCAGCCCGGUGCAUUAAAGCUACCGCUAUGCGCGGUGUCCGGGGAAGGGCCCACCACAAGAGUGUAUUAUACGCAAUCUUACCUUGCAUUUCUGCCAGAGGCUAUUUCCAAGGCUUGAACCCGUGACCUCCUGGUCACAUGGAGGCAACUUUACCAGUUACUCCAAGGCUCCCCUUCAACUGACCAUUGAAAAAUAUAAAAAACACAUUCACACACAUCAUGCGGACAUCCUUUUGUAGCAAAUUCAUGUUAAAAGAAUCGUAGAUAAGUAGAAUAGAACCCUAAACCUCUUCUAGCUAAAACCUAUACUAAACCAACUCGACAAGGCUAAACUUUUGUAUAUGUUUUCUAUAGUAAUAAAUAUUAAGCACACUCUUCCUUUGAGAAUAUUAUGCUACAUACGUUACUAUUCCAAAUACGGAAUCCGCCUCUGUUACUAUCCUAGUCGCGGUCGAUAGAAUUACCUAGAACCUGCUGUUGGUGGGAGCUGACAGGUAUCACGUGGAAUAAACCAACGAGACAAGGCUAAACUUUUUGUAAAUGUUUGCAAAUAAAUAUUAAGUACACACUUCUUUUUUUAAUAUUAUGCUUCAUACGUUACUAUUCCAAAUCCUGGAUCCACCUCUGUUACUAUCCUAGUUUCGGUCGACAAAGUUACCUGACACCUAUUGCUGUUGGGAGCUGACAGGUAUAACGUGGAAUAAACCAACUAGACAAGGCUAAACCUUUUGUAAAUGUUUGCAAAUAAAUAUUAAGUACACACUUCUUUUUUUAAUAUUAUGCUUCAUACGUUACUAUUACAAAUCCUGGAUCCGCCACUGUUACUAUCCUAGUUUCGGUCGACAGAGUUACCUGAAACCUGUUGCUGUUGGGAGCUAAAAGGUGGAAUAAACCAACUCGACAAGGCUAAACUCUUUGUACAUGUUUGCUAAUAAAUAUGAAGUACACUCUUCCUUUGUGAAUAUUAUGCAACAUACGUUACUGUUCCACAUCCCGGAUCCGCCUCUAUGACUAUCCUAGUCUCAGUCGACAUAAUUACCUAGCACCUGUUGCUGGUGGGCUGACAGGUAUCACGUCCACAAAGUCAUUUCACUAUGCUAACUUUCAGAUCUAGCACAUCAAUAAUCUCACAAUAUAAAUCAUCACAAAAUAGUCCACAAAACUAUAAUUGUAAUUCCAAACUCAAAAUCAAACACGUAAUCUCAAAAAAUUAAUCGAUAAUAAAAAGAACUUAAUUGACUCAAUUAACGAACAAUCGAUCAACAAAAUACUCACAGCAGCAACACCGCCACCGACAAUCACAUAUUUGAAUGAUUUCUCCGCCAUUGAUGAAUUGUUUGAGCUUUGUUAAAGGAAAAAUAUGAAAAGUUUUGUGAAGGAAAAUGAUGGAUGUGGACUAAUAUUUAUACUUGAUACAGUCUCAUUUGGUGAUUUGUGAUUGGUUGAAACGAGGAACAUUGUGGAAGUCAAUAACAAACGUACACGUGGCACGUGAUGUGCCAUUCGAUUUGAUGACUAUAGAAGAUCAAGUCAAAUUAAGAAUAUGACGUUAUAGUAUACAUUGACGUUAUAAAAAAUAUUUAUGAAUUGGUCAUAAAUAAUUAGAAAUAAAUCAAAAACGUAGAUUACAUAAUUAAUUAAAAAUAAAAAGAACUAAAUUGACUCAAGUAAUAAUGAAUCAAUCGACGAGAUACUCACCGCAGAAACACCGCCACCGAGGAUAACGUACUUGAAUGAUUUCUCCGCCAUUGUAAAUCGACGAUUAAAUUUUGAGUUUUUUUUGUUGAAGAUGAAAAUUAUUUAAUGUGAAAAAAAAAAAAUUAUAUGAAGUUUUGUUUGAGGAAACUGAUGAAUUAAAGUUAUAUACUUAUCAUGCAUAAUGUAUACAAUAUUUGUGUAAGUCAAUCAGGAACGUACACGUGGCAUGUUGUGUAACGUUUGAUUUAUUGGACUUUGUCAUUGCCACGAUAGUUGGAUAAAAGAAAAGGAAAUGUACACAAAAAUAGUAAAUACUUUAUUUAUGGAUGUAAAAUUAAAGAACACAUUUAAUAUAAUUCAAUACAAAUAAAAUGUGAUAAAUGAAUCGAUUGGCAUAAAGUUGGAUCUUAUCUAUUUUUAAUUAAUGCUCAAAUUUUUAAUCAUUAUUUUUCAGACUUCGGAAAUAAAAUGAUAAAAGUCUAUCCAAAAGUGUUUUUAUUACAAUAACCAUAUACAAUGUAAUUUCAUAAAUGAAAUAUGAGAAGAAGAUAAGAUAUGUGUAGAUGUUAACUAUUUUUAAAAAUAAUAAUAUUACUUUAUUUAUUGUGUACAAUUAAAGAAAACUUUUGAUAUAAAUUAAUACAAGAUAUUAUGAGCACACACCAAUAAGUUAAAUAUUUUUCAAAUAAAAUGUGAUAAAUGAACUAACUUUAAAGUUGGGUCUUAUCUAUUUGUAACGCUUGAGAAUAAUAAAUUAUUAAAUUCUAUUCAAAAAGUGUUUUUACAAUAAUAACAUAUUUGAUAUAACUUCAUAAGUAAAGUUUAAAAAGAAUAAAUUAUACGUAAACGAUAAAUCUUAGUCUUAAUUUUAUAUGAUAAAAAAAUUAUUUUUGAUAGAGAAUUCGAAAUUAUUGUUCUAGAAACUAGUAAUAAAGUGAACAAGUGGGAAUUAUUUCUUUAUUUUGUUUUUUUGAAGUGAUAAUUUAAUUUAUGAGAAGUGCUCUUUUCUUUUCUUUUUUUUUAAUGACUUUUUAGUACAUUUAUUUUCAAUUAAAUAAGGUUUGACACUUGUCUUUUUAAGAAUUUUGUGGAAAAGUCAUAAUCAUUGAUGUCAUUGCCUAGACAAUAGAAUUGUACCAUAAAGCUAAUAGUCCAAGAAUGAAAGAUAUUUUAUUUUAUUUUUAAUUUUGGUAAAGAAAGUGUGAAAGGCAUCUUGGUCAAAUAUCAACUAAUAAUAUAUUAUUAAAACUAAAUUAAUAAAUUAAACCAUUUUUCAUAUAAAACCCCUCAAAACCACUUUUGCAAAAUUAUUAAAAUAAAAUAAAAAAAUCUCAAGUUUUGAGCAUUGAGAAAGAAUUUUCUUUUUUUUUAACGUCUGAAGUUAGAUUGAUGAUUGAUAAAGUCAGAAAUUACUAUUUUAGCGACGCAGUAACAAGAUCGAUUCGAUGGCUAAAAAAGUUUGAUCGUUUUGUUGAAUAAAGCAAAUUAACGUAGCAAUCGAGUACGGAUGUAGAUAAAAGUUAUUGUUUUAUAUAAAUCAUAUAUUAUAUCGUUGAUUCGUAGAUCCUCGCUUAAUCGGUAACCUGAUGAGUUGAAUCCGACGUAUCCAUCAUAGACCAAUAAUAUUCACGACUCAUUUGACAAUAUUUUCUUUUUAAUGAAUCUUAUAUAAUGCACUUAUAUAAUGCACUUUUAAUUAGUCGAAUCAGUGAAUAUCAGAUAACGAAUUAGUAUUACAUUAAAAAUUUAGUAAAAAAUAAAGGGAAAAGCUACUCUGAAGUGUGAAUGGUAUAAAUGAUGAGAUACCCAACUACCAAAUCCUUCUUUGAUGGCUGACCUUAGAACAAGAAAGGUCAAAACAAAAUUUUGACCAGAAAAUUUCCAGAAGAAUACAAAAUAUAAAUAUUUUUAUGAGUAAAAGCAUCCACAACCCCCUCAAACUAUGGUCAAAGUUGCUACGACACACUCCAACUUCACAACUUAAUUUUAGCGUAUUUUUGUUACCCUUUGUUGCUGACAUGACACCUUUUGUCAAUCAUUUUAGCUGACGUGAUACCUUUGAAGUAGCCUCAUUUCAUGUAAUAAAGGUGUCGCAUCAGCACAAAAGAAUAACAAAAAUACGCUAAAAUUUUGACCAUGAAAUUUCCAGAAAAAUAUAAAAUAUAACUUUUUUAUGAGUAAAGCAUCCAGUACCCUCUCGAACAAUGGCCAAAGUUGUUACGGCACACUCCCAACUCUACGAGCGUCUUAUCACUCCCUGAACUUAAUUUUAGCGUAUUCUUGUCACCCUUUUGUGUUGACAUGACAUAUUUUGUCAACUAUUUUAGCUGAUGCAGGACCUAUUUUAUGGAAUAAAGAUGUCACAUCAGCAUAAAAGGAUAAUAAAAAUACGCUAAAAUUGAGAGGGGUAAUAAAAUCCCUGUGAAGUUGGAAUGUGUCGUAGCAACUUUUAUCAUAGUUUAAAGGAUACUGGAUGCUUAUCUCAUUUUCUAUCAUAUAAUAUAAGCAUAAUAUUAAUCCCGGAUAGCUAAUUCCGAACAAUGAAAUUCAACCAACAACAACAGCAGUCCCAGUGUAUUCCCACAAAGUGAGGUCUGGGGAGGGUAAAAUGUACGCAGUCUAUACCGCUACCUCCGAAGAAGUAGAGAGGUUGUUUCAUAUAAUAAAAUUCAAACAAGAGAGAGAAUAUUGUAUAAAGACCUAACAUACUCGAAAUUUCUUAAGUGUGUACACAAAAACUUCCAUGAAUGCAAUGCUCAAUGCUCUAGCAACAACUAGACCUUACCGAGAGCUAAGUUGCUCGGAAUCUCCGAAAAUGUGGCCGCACCUGUGUCGGAUCCUUAAAAAAUGCACUAGUUUUGAAGGAUCCGACGCUCACCUCAUGACAUUUUUGAAGAGUCGGGCAACAUAGUCCAAGCGUAUUACGCCUUGACUCGCGCUUUGUAUUGCUUUAUCUCCUUAAUUAUUCCAUCAGCAAGCAUGUUGACAUCGUUGUUCUUCCCAAAAAACUUGACAAAAUCCAUCUUAGGAUCCAUAAGAUACCUGCAUAUUGUAUCAACAAACUCAUCAAAUUCACAUGCCAUACUAACAUUCACGUCCGAACCAGUGGCGGAGCCAAAAAAAGUUCAUUAAGGGGGUUCGAAAGUGCACACAUGAACUAGCCGAAGGGGGUUUAACAUAUACAAUAUAUGCGUAAAAAAAUUUUUUAACCAUGUAUAAAUAGUGUAAUUUUUCGCCGAACGGGUUUCGAAUGAACCCCUGGAUAUAUGCUAGAUCCACCACUGGUCUGAACCCUUGUAAGAGAUGUCAUAAGAUUUCAAGUUUUAAAAGGCAUAAACAACCUCAAAGAAUCACUUUAGGCUGGAAAUUCCCAGCAAAUUACAAUAUGGAUCAUAACACUUUUGCAAGAAACCUUAAAUAUGCGAAAUGCCUCGAGCAUUUACGCAUGAUUUGGUUGAAAUUUGAAAAAAAUGAGCAAUUGAAAGAGCAUUUGGAUUUGUUGGUGUUUGCGAAUGGAGAAAAAGUUAAAAACUUUCGUGAGUAACAACUCGAAAUGCUCCUAAAACUAAUUAUCAAGCUUCAAAAUCUUCAGUUUGAAAUUCAAAUAAUGGACCAAAUUGAUAAUCAAACACCUACUUGAAAUUAUCUUCAAAUAUUAUUUCAACUAUUAGAGUACUUACUCUAAUGUGUAAGUAUAAACGCUCCCAGGCACGAAUCCCUAUGACAGUCACUUUCCAAGCCUAAAGUCAGUUUGUGACACCCCAACAUAGGAGAAGGAGUCCAACAUCGACAGAAACAAAGGAGGGAUGCUGGGUAUAUAAGUAAGUAAGUCUUACUCCCUAGUGACGCGUUUUAAAGCUGUGAGGGCCUGGGCCCAGAACGGACAAUAUCACUGGUGGGUUGAGGAGUUCAGGGGUAUCUUGGACCUUGAUGAUUCGAGAUGCUCGCCGCGGCCAGGGCCUCGGCUCGGGUCGUGACACAGUUCCUGUCCAUUGCUUAGAUGGUCUUUCCGGCAGUCAUGGCCAGAAAAGGGGACAACGAGGAGAACAUCACUUUCUACAGCGCAAGUUUCAAGGCAUAUGACAUAUCUAGAUGCCAAGCUGGUGGUGCAGAUACAUGGUAUGAAUGGGUGGAACGUCGCAUGUAUUUAAUGAGAGUUAAGAUUAGCUCAAAAAUUUUAAAGUGGUUAGUGAACGUAUUCAUUAAAGCAUCCAAAGUACAGGGGAAUGUCAUUAAGAAGUGGAGGCUUGCAGAGGCAAUAGAUGGACGACGGAAAAUACGAGAUCAGCACAGAUACAGAUCCAGGAUGAUAGCAUCAAAAUAAGCGGAGGUGCAGCUACAUCGGAAAAGGACCUAUUGAGCAGAUAUUUAGUAGGCAAAUUCCAGAUUUCAACACAAGAGCCGGUCACCCUAAACGACAUCAGAAGAUGGGCAAGCAGUACAUGGAAGACGGUCUUUGGAAUCAAUGUCUUUGCGAUGAACGAUAGUCACUUCCUCUUCGAAAUGCCUUCAAAGAAAGAAGCAGAACAUGUACUGUCGGGAGAAUGGAUCUGGAAGAAGAGAAAGAUCCCCUUGGAAUGGUGGAAACCCUCAACAGGAUGUUGGCCGGCAGAGAUCAAGAGGGAUUGGGUGCGGAUCCGACUUCUACGACUCCCGCUAAAUCUGUGGUCAGAGAAGAUCUUCAAAAUAGCCAGCGACCAUUGUGGUGGUUUUAUUGAAACAGAAGAGGAGACUACUCUCAAGAACCACCUACACUGUGCUCACAUCAAGGUCUGGGGAGAUGGAAGGAAAGUUUCGAGAGAGAUUAGCCCACAAACAGUGGAAACGUCUACACAAUUCCGAUAUGGGUCAAAGAUCCGGUCACCGUUAGGGCAGAAAUGGAAAGGACAGAGGUAACACUCGUUUGAAUGGAACAUGACACAAUGUGUUGUAAUUAAGAUAGAAAGUAGAAACAAGAAACAGACAGCCAUAGCUCAACAAGAACACACAGGUUUGGUUUGAGAAGAAAAAUAUUUGUUUCCUUAACAAGUUCAAGGAUUUCUGCUAUUUGAUACAAUUUCUCAAUGUACUAUUACUUCAUUUCUUUGUAUUGCGUAUAAGUAAAAUCCAUUGAUCUGUUCUAUCAAAUCAUCUCAGCUGCUCCCAUCUAAUUUUGAAGCUGACAACAACAACAACAACAAAAAACAGGGGUCUGGGGAGGGUAAAAUGUGCGCAGUUCAUACCGCUACCUCCGAAAAAGUAGAGAGGCUGUUUCCGAUAGACCCCCGGCUCAAGACGAAGCUUAUACUGAAAUAUUAAAAAUUUCUGGUACAUUAUACUGGACUAUUUUAAGCUCAAAGAAUCACUUUAGGUUGGAACUUCACAUCAAGUUACAAUAUGGAUCACAACACUUUUGCAAGAAACCUUCUAUAUGCUAAAAGCCUCGAGCAUUUGGGCAUGAUUUGGUUGAAAUUUGAAAAAAAUGAGUAAUUGAAAGAGCAUUUGGAUUUGUUGGUGUUUGCGAAUGGAGAAAAAGUUAAAACUUUUGUGAGUAACAACUUGAAAUGAUCCUAAAACUAAUUAUCAAGCUUCAAAAUCUUUAGUUUGAAGUUCAAAUAAUGGACCAAAUUGAUGAUAAUCAAACACUUACUUGAAAUUGCCUUCAAAUAUUAUUUCAAAUAUAAAUCAUAGUCACGGCCAAACGGUGAUAUAUAUGUCCAUCAAUGUAGCAUCUAAGUGGGUACAGAGAAGAAGUCAUCUGCGAGUAACCAGUAAUACAAACUACUCCCUCCAGUCCAUAGUACAUUAUGUUUUUAGAUUUGCACUUAUUUAGUCCAAAAUAGUUAACUUUUAGAUGCUCAAGAAACCAUAGUAAAUAGGUACUACUAUCUAAUUAACGGUAAUUUAGUGAAAACACCUCUUACUUCGAAGGGGCUAGUGGAUUUCUUAAAGGGUGUGUCCAACCUAAAAACACCACAUAAUAUGAACGGCAGCGAGCAGCUUGACAAGAGUGCUUAAAUUACGUCUCCCAGUUAGUUGUUUGGACUAUGAAGUACUUGAUUCCUAGAUGGAGUAUCUUUGUAUUUAAUAUCUAUGUUGUUCGAACUCUUCAAAAAUAUCAACGGGUGCAUAUCGGAUUCUCCAAAAGUGGUGUAUUUUUGGAGAAUCCGACAUGGGUGCGGCAUCAAAAGUGAAGAGUCCGCACAACUUAGUUUAGUAUAAAAUGAAUUUCAUCAUUAAAUAUAAGUUUAUGGUAAAUCAUGUUCUAAUCAUUUAUGCAAACUACAAGAAUUAGUUUAGUUAAUCAAAAACCAACCCAUAUCUUCUCCCAACAAGCCAUUAGCACACAAUCUCCCAACAAAAAGCUAACACCUCUUUGAGCUCCCUCCCAGCUACCACUUCCAACUUCAACGAUAUUUCCACUCCCAUUCCACACAUCAGUAUAUAUCCAACUCUACAAGACUCCGCUCGCACAUAGGUCCUAAUGCAGGCAUAUUUUUUUUUAAUCGAAAAUGAUUACCAAGAAUGCAGGCGGACUUUUGAAGUGAUCAAACGGAAACAGAGGGGCUACAACCACUAUAUAAGUAGUGCUUUCCAAAUAGAAGAUACGAAAAGGAAGUAUAUAUCCAACUCUACAAGACUUUGUUCACGCACAUAGGUCCUAAUGCAGGCAUUUUUUUUUUUAAUCGAAAAUGAUUACCAAGAAUGCAGGCGGACUUUUGAAGUGAUCAAACGGAAACAGAGGGGAUACAACCACUAUAUAAGUAGUGCUUUCCAAAUAGAAGAUACGAAAAGGAAGUAUAUAUCCAACUCUACAAGACUUUGUUCACGCACAUAGGUCCUAAUGCAGGCCUUUUUUUUUAAUCGAAAAUGAUUACCAAGAAUGCAGGCGGACUUUUGAAGUGAUCAAAAGGAAACUGAGGGGAUACAACCACUAUAUAAGUAGUGCUUUCCAGAUAGAAGAUACAUAAAGAAAAAAUAUAAAGAAAACGGUCACCACUGUAAUAAAUUUAGUUUUCUUAUGCGUACUGUUUAUGGUAUUACCAGUAUACUUGUAUAAAUAAAUUUGAAUAAUGCCCGCAUUAAUAUGCAAACCACAUCAUCUAAAGGUUUAAAGUGUUUAAAUUUAAAAGACUACGUAUGCAGGAUAUCGGAUCAUUUUGCAGAAAAAUCAAAGGAGUGCAGUUUGUAGACAUUGAAAAUAAAGAAGCAAUCAAAACUGACACGUGCAAUCAUACUAGGAUAAGAAGGAUCAAGUAACACAUACAUGACUAUUGAGUGAUCAACAAGGUAAUCUGAGCCUUCUUCUUCUGUCUUCAUAUAGUAAACCCGAUAAGCACGUGCUGUUUUCUUUAUCUCUUCGGGGCUACCAGUGAGGCCAAUCAAGUUUGGGUGGAACUCUAAACAUUGAGUGCAAGUUGUCGGUUACAACAUUACAAGUAUAUCUAAUAAUGCACAAUAUAUAAUCAGUUCAAUCUGAAACACACCUUUAACAUAUUCGCCUACUUGUUCAACCGUAUCUCUUUCAGGAUCAACCGAGAUAAAUACAGGUACUAUUUGGAUUCCAGACUUCUCCUCUGCAUAUUGAAUAUAUUACAAAUUAGAAGAUGAAUACAUCCCUGUAUGCUUAAAUUUAAAGGAAAAAGACAUCAUGACAGCUAAAGAUUAGAGCUUAUGGGCUUCUCUCUCACAACAAAAAAUUGUAACCAUACAGUCAACUGCCUUAUUGUAGUCCGCUACGAUUAUCUAACCAGUUUGAAACAGUUUCAUGUUUAAACCAGUUUGAACAUUUUCAUGCACAACAUGGAGUAACAAUUGAAGCAACAUUUGAGUUUAUGCACUUCAUGCUCUUAGUUCACAUGAUACUUAAUAUUGCUGAGAAGGCUUACUAAUUUUAUCAACUGCAGCAGCGAGUUUCUGUAGCUCCUCCGGGCAUAUAUCUGGACAGUGAGUAAAACCAAAAUACACAACUGUCCACUUGCCAAAGAAGUCUUUCUCAGUUACUGAUUUUCCAUUAUGAUCAAUAAGAUUAAAUGGACCACCAAUGGCUGCUUUUCCCACUGAAGGUCCUUCUUUCACGGAAGUUGAGGCAUUGGUGAUUUCUGUAACAAUUAAUUAACAAGCUUAAUCAGCAAACUAGAAAACUAGAAUGAUAGGAACUCAGAGGCAAGGCAAGAACACACGUUGUAGCCUAUGAUCGUACAAUCUUCAAAAAAUUAGUACAACAAACUUAAGGCUUCCUGAACAACAGGAACAAAGGAGAAAUAUUAGUAAAUACAAUUGUUUGUUACUCCCUUUGUUUCAAUUUGUUAUUCUAAUUUUGACUUGGCACAGAGUCUAAGAAAAUAAAAGAAAAUUCUGAACCUUGGGUCUUAAACUAAAAAUAUGUAGAAUGUGCAUAAAUACCCUCUAAUCUUGUAGUCUUAAAUAUGUCACGUGGAAAGUUAGAACCAAAGAGUUGCCAAAAGAGGAAAGAGGCAUUCUUUUUUAAACGGACGGACUAAAAAAGAAAAUAGCACAAACAUGUCGAAACGAAGGGAGUAUUUGAAGUAAAAGAUGGACUACCUAAUCUGACUUUCUUCUUAAAAAAUAAUUUCAUAAAAUGAGUAUUUAAACCUCAAAGUUGUUCUGUUCCAUUAAAUACAAAUACAGACGCUAUCGCAAGUAAUACUAAGCAGAACCUAUGGUGAUAGUAUCAGUAAAAGCAACCAUUUAACAGUGUUUUACCGAUAUAAAACACGACUGAAAAUGCACAUUUACGCUAUAAAAAAAGACAAAAAGAAAAAACGAUACCACAUUAUAUCUCUACAAAACCCAACCUAGGCAAAAAACAAUUUCCAGCAUGUGUUUUUCCUUUAAGAGCACAUUAGUUUAGUCAUGGACCACAAAACGAAGCAUACUCAGAAGUUUUGCACACGUGACAAGUGGAUUGAUGCCAAAUUAUUACUCUAGAAGUGAUGUGAUUUGUGAUCUAAUCUUACUGGUGACAAAAGGAACAAACAAAAGUUCACUUUUACUAAGACUGUAUUCUAACAUAUCUGUUUAUGUGACAAAGGGAACAAACAAAAGUUGACUUUUGAAAUAUGUUGUUCAAUUACUAAGACUGUAUUCUGACAUAUCUGCCUAUAAACACAUAGGCACGACCAUUGUCGCACUAUAUUUGGAACGAGGCAGUGGUAUAACCAGAAACCUAAAUUCGCGGCCUAAUCAAACAUGUGGCAUUGUAAAUGCAACUUUUGAAACAAAAAAUAAUCCUCCUUCGUGCCUUCAAACCCAAAGUCUAAUGAGCCCAAAAAGAUUUACUAUUGAGCUGUGUUGGAUUAGCCUACCACAAUUGUUUUCCUAAAACUAAUACAACUCACCAUAGUAAUCUACCUUCAAUAUGCCGUUUCUUUUCCCUGUCAUAAUAGUAAACCAAUCCAGCUCCAGUGCAAACAAGUAGAAAGAAGCUCAUCCAUGAAACAGGCUGCACAUAUCAAAAUAUUACUCAACAGAAAUAAAAAUCUUUUACACCCUACUAUAAACAUAAACAGAUAGAGUUAUGCAGGCGUCUCAAUAAAAUUAGUGGCCCAAAGCCAAAACAUAAAUACAAAAAUACUGGUAAUAGAGUGAUGCAGGCGUCUCAAUAAAAUUAGUGGCCCAAAGCCAAAACAUAAAUACAAAAAUACUGGUAUAGUAUUUUUAAGAGAUACAUGACUUUUAACUUCACAUGUUAAUGCUUAUUAAUAAAAGUUAAAGAUUAUUUCUAGUUAAUAAGAUGUUUGUCAUUUGUUUGCACUGCAUAAAUUUAGAUAUUGUUGUUAAAACUUUAUUUAUUAAUAUAAAGUUUGAGUUGUUUAGUUUAAAGUUCUAAAAUAUUUCUUGUAAAAAUGAAAACUUUUUUUUUUAUUAUUAUUAUUUAGAUAAUUUUUAAAAAUGUAUUUCAUAAUCUUCAUUAUUAUUUCAAAUGAAAUUGAAAUCACAGAGUUUAUUAUUAAAAUUUUGAGGCCUCAAAAUUUUUGGGGCCUAAAGCGAAGGCUUUACUAGCUUUACCAUUGAGCCACCCCUGAUUGCAUCUGAAUCCAUACUGUUACAUUUCAUUAAAAAUGCAGUUAUCCAAAGCAAAAGAGAGAAAUGGAACUCGCAAUCACACAAAAAAAGCAAAAAGUCUGCAGGGCAGUUGACAAUUGAAUCCGAUAUACAUAAACAACAACAAAAAAAAAAAACCAGUAUAUUCCCACAUAGUGGGCCGAUAUGCAUAAACAUUCCCCUUUAUUUCUGUCUAGCUAUUGUCAUUGUCGUGGGUCCUCACGUUCAUUACAUCGAUGUAGAUUGCCUCAUGAAAUCGAGCGACAAUCUCAAUAUCCAAGUAAACAGCAGCUCCAAGUAUGAUCAAAACAUAACUUUUACCAAAACAUAACACAUAAAACAUCGCCCAGAUGCAAGUAUUAGUCUGCAGUUUUCAGAACACACUACCUCCAGACUCAAUAUGCAUACGUACAUUACACACACACUCACACACUAAAUUUCCAUGUUUUUAGUUUGUAUUAAUUUUGUGCCCAGUGUAGCAUAUGAAAAGUGAAGGGGUGUAAUUGGUAAAGAUGUUGUCAUGUGGAAACAGCAUCUUGCAUUGCAAGUGUUAGUCAACAGGUUUUCAGAACACACUACCUCCAUACUCAAUAUGCAUACAUACAUUAAACACACACACACACUAAAUUUCCAUGUUUUUAGUUUGUACUAAUUUUGUGCCCAGAGUAGCAUAUGCAAUGGCGGAGCCACCAUUGCUCCAUGAACCCCCUUCGACAGAAAAUUAUAUUGGUUUUAUACUAUUUUUACAUGGUUAAAAAUAUUUUUUAUGCUAUAUAGUAGAUGUUGAACCCCCGCAAUGAAAAUCCCGACUCCGCCACUGAGCAUAUUGAAUAGCGAAGGGGCAUCGGAAUUGGUAAAGUUGUUGACAUGUAAAAACAACAACUUGCAUAAAUGCAUGGUUAGCCUGCAUACAGUAGACCCAUUAUGGUUCAUCCAUUCCCAGACCCGUGCAUAGCGGAAGCUUAGUGCACCAUAUGAGUAGUGGGAGCAUUAUAUGUUUGUAAAUAAAGCAAGUAUAACUUACACUACCCCGAAUAGACUUUCCCUGUGAACCACCAGAGCUCGAGCUGUUUCCAGAAUUUGAUUGAUUAGUAGGAGUUGAGGUACAGAGAAACCUGUAAGAAAUCAAUCCAUUUUCCAUUCGAUCCAAACGCAGAGCCUGUAAUCCAAGAAAUAGAGAAAUUUUUUUAGAUACAUGAAAAAGAAACCGUACUAUUCAAAGAUAACAAAAAAAGAUGAUUUUAUUAAACCGAUAUUAGAAAGAAAAGAAAUUGAAAACUUAAGAUUAGAAUAAAGGAAGACUAACCAAUGGAGAACGGGGUAGAGAUUUGGUGGCGGUGGAAGUAUUUGAAAGGGAAUGGAUGCGAUGAAAGAAAGGGUUGGUUGAACGGCAUUGCUGGGAAGAAAGGGAGUGAUAGAGAUAGCGAAUUUGUUGGUUUCUUGUUGUUGUUGUUAUUGCUUUCGCCAUUCCUCUGUUGUACAAUCGCACGCUGAAAGUUUUGCUGAAAACUGCACAGAGCUCAAACGCCCUACCAAAAGAAGAAACAAGUGGAAAUUAUUUCUUUAUUUUGGUUUUAUGGUUCUUCAAGUGAUAAUUUAAUUUAUGAGAAGUGCUCAAUUCAAUGAGGUUUGACACUUAUUUUUUAAGAAUUUUGUGGAAAAUUCAUACAACCAAUUUCCUGAAAUUUUGAUAAAAGUAGCAGCUUCGGUGAAGAAAAAUUCAACACAAACUUCCUCUAUAAAUUUACAUCUCAUUGGACACAAAGUAUACAUUCUCUCCUUCACAUUCUCCACUCUCCUCACAAAAAAAUAAAAUAAAAUAAACACGACAAAAAAAAAAAUAUUAAUUUUUGGCUUAAUUAGAGAAGAUGGCUUUCUCCAAAUUUAGUAAUUAUUUCUCUCUUUUUUUGGUUUUACUACCAAUGUUAGCUGCAGAAAAGGAUAAUCUUCCUCCUAUUUUCGCUCCCAACUUUGGUAUACAUAUCUCUUCUUCCAGCUGCUUUAUCUUUUCACAUUUUUAAAUGUUAAUUCAUUUUUAUACUGUUAAGUAGUACAAUUUAACUCAUUAUAUCGAGUUAUUACUCUAUUUUUUGAUGAAGAGUUACCUAUUGUAAAUCAACUCACUACUACACUCAAUUAGUUAGAAGAUCACCACAAAGACCUAACAGGACUAAAGUCCUUCAAUCCUUACCUACUAUACUCACUAAGUUAGAAGAUCGGACAAAUGUUGGAGCCAAUAUUUUCAUUACGGGUGUCAAAAUUGAACAAGUAAACACAUGAAGAAGCGCCACGGGGUGGGGGGUGGGGGGGAGGGUCAACAUCUACUAUAUAUACAUAAACAAAAUAAUUUUAACCAUGUAUAAACAAUGUAAUGUAAUUUUCCACAGGAGGUCUUGAACCAAUACCUGCUUUACUCACUAAGUUAGAAGAUCGCCAUUAUAUAACUUACAUCGAAACCUAAUCAAGACAUAAAGAUUGGCCUCAAUGAUUGCAAAAUCAUGCUGCUUGCAUCAUCUAAACUAAUCUACCCCACCUUAUAAGUUAAAAAAAGAGUUUUCCAAUUAAAGAGUCCUUCUAAAUUCACUUUGAUUUUAAAUAUCAUUUCAUCAAUUAUCACAUUAGUUGGUUAUUGUUAUUUCUAUUGAUCUUUUUUUGAAUGCUAAGUUAUGUUUUCCAUGUCCUCUUUACUUUUGUAUUUUUCUUUUAGCUGCUCCGAUGUUAGUUACUCAAGCCUCUCUACCUCCUCGACAUAGGGAUAAGGUCUACAUACACUUUAUCCUCCCCAGACCCCACUUUCAGGACUACACUGAGUUCCUUUUUGUUGCAUAGGUCGAGCCCAAACCAUUGUACUUUAAUCCUCGCUAGCACUACCUCUUCACCGCAAUCAAUUUCAAACUUAUCAUAAAUACAUUUUUUAGCUGCUCUGAUGUUCAUUACUCGAGCCUCACUACCUCCUCGAGGUAUUGAUAACGUGUGCAUACACUCUACCCUCCCCAUACCCCACUUUCGGAACUACACUGAGUUCCUUUUUGUUGCAUAGGUCGAGCCCAAGCCAUUGUACUUUAAUCCUCGCAAGCACUACCUCUUCACCGCAAUCAAUUUCAAACUUAUUAUAAAUACAUUUUUUUUAGCUGCUCUGAUGUUCAUUACUCGAGCCUCACUACCUCCUCGAGGUAUUGAUAACGUGUGCAUACACUCUACCCUCCCCAGACCCCACUUUCGCGACUACAUUGAGUUUCUUUUUGUUGCAUAGGUAACCGAAAACCCGAACCAUUGUACUUUAAUCCUUGCAAGCACUACCUCUUCACCUCAAUCAAUUUCAAACUUAUUAUAAACACAUAUUUUUUUACUUUGCAGCUAAAAAUGCAAAUUAAACAGCAAAAUAUUCACGAACAGUUAAUAGAAAUUGAAUCCUUGCAACCACUACCUCUUCACCUCAAUCAAUUUCAAACUUAUUAUAAACACAUAUUUUUUUACUUUGCAGCUAAAAAUGCAAAUUAAACAGUAAAAUAUUCACAAACAGUUAAUAGAAAUUGAAUCCUUGCAAGCACUACCUCUUCACCUCAAUAAAUUUCAAACUUAUUAUAAACACAUAUUUUUUACUUUGCAGCUAAAAAUGCAAACUAAACAACAAAAUAUUCACAAACAGCUAAUAGAAAUUGAAUACUAAGAAUCUCCAAUUCCAAAAUUCAAAUUUCACCAAAUCAAAAAAAAAAAAAAAAGUAGUAGUAAUUAGGGUUUAAGAGGAUUACAAAUUAAAAUUAGCCGGAGAAGGAGAUCGCCGCCGCGAGAAAUUGGGAGAAAAGAGCGCAAAGUUUUACAGUCCGGUGGACUACGGUGGCGACUGGCGGAAGAAGUCGGCGCGAAUUUUGAAAUUUAGGGCUAAUUAAUUGGGUCGAAUGAAUUGGGCCUGAAAGCUAUAUAUGGAUCCACAAGGCCUGAUCCAUUAUACAAUUGUGCAUGGAUAGCCCUUUGCUAUGUGUGAUUUGCACUAAAGGUAAUAUUUUUAAAAAAUAACAUAAACAUACACCUUAACUUAACAUAUUUAUUUAAAUGACCACUCUUACAAAGAAAUGACGAAAUUCUCAGCUAAUUAUAUAUCUUCGUUGAAUAUAUCUGGAGUUAAUUACAUAUAUCGAUAGACUCAAAAUAAAAAAAAUAUAUCGAGAGCUAAUUAUAUAUCUUUACAAGGGAAAAAAAAAUAACAUAAACAUACACCUUAACUUAGCAUAUUUAUUCAAAUGAUCACUCUUAUAAAGUAAUUACAAAAAAAAUAGUUAAUUAUGUAACUUCUUUGGAUGUAUCGAGAUCUAAUUAUGUAUCUCGAUAGACCCAAAAUAAAAAAAAAAUAUCGGGAGCUAAUUAUAUAUCUUUAAAAAGGAAAAAAAAUAACAUAAACAGCUAAUUAUAUAUAUUUACAAAGAAAAAAAUAACACAAACAUACACCUUAACUUAACAUAUUUAUUCAAGUAAUCACUCUUACAAAGUAAUUACGAAAAAUUCAUCUAAUUAUAUAACUUCGUUGGAUAUAUCAAGAGCUAAUUGUGUAUCUUGAUAGACUCAAAAAAAAAUAAAAAUAUCGGGAGUUAAUUAUAUCUUUACAAAGGAAAAAAAAUAACAUAAACACCUAAUUAUAUAUCUUUACAAAGGAAAAAAUAACAUAAACUUACACCUUAACAUAUAUAUUCAAAUGAUCACUCUUACAAAGUAACUACGAAAAAUUCAACUAAUUAUGUAACUUUGCUGGACGUAUCAAGAGCUAAUAGUAUGUCUCAAUAGACUCAAAAUCAAAAAAAUGUAUCGCUAGCUAAUUAUAUAUCUUUACAAAAGAUCCAGCUAAUUAUACCUGCGUGUAGUUAGGCCCAACCUAGGAUCCGGCCCACUAAAACUUGACAUAUUUCUUCUUCAACCUGUUAACACUAUUACCACUACACAAUAGUAUAAACAACAUAUAUACUGCAAAAGUGAAACUAUUUACAUAAUUUCUAAUUGAGGUUUUCUCUUUUCCUUGUAUCCAAAAUAUUGUCAUACAUUCAGUUGAUUGUUACACAUUCGCUGAAUGUAUGAUAAAUCUGAUUUACCUAAAAUUAAGGGAUAAGGAAUCAGUAAAUGUAUCACUAUUCCUUAAAUUACGUUAUUUAAUUACCUGAUAUUAAUUAUUGUAUGAGUUAAAAUAGUAAUUGAAAUUUGAAUUUCAAAAACAAAAAAUCUUAAACAUUACAUUUAAUUGUCUUCUUUUAUGAUUUACUUUUCUGUGUAAAAAAAAAAAUUCUCGUACGUUCUUGUGAGAAAAAAUAUGAACAUCCCAAUAUUGUUGCGUCAUUCAAGUUUAUGGGAGACGAAAAUAAGUUUUAAAGCAUACAAAAGUGAUGCUAUUGUUGUUUCUGAAAGUAUUAACUUUGCGAAAUUGGUUGCGACAAUCGCGAUGGAAUUGGGUAUUGAUGAUGUUCGAAAAAAAAUUGAAGUAAAAUAUAUUGUUGAUGGUAAUUCUUCACCAAUUAUCAUAAGAAAUGAUAAUGGAGUCAAGGUUUAUAUUGAGUUAAAGAAACAGUGUUCUGGGCUUAUAAGUUUUCCGCUAUGUAUAACAACUUCCAACAAAUCGAUUAAGGAUAUCGAGUUUGAUAGCAAAACUGGGAUUGUAAUGUGUAUUGAAGGUAGUGAAUCUGAUUCGGUUGUGUUAACUGUUGUUGAAACGCAGAAUCAGUAUUCAUUAUACGUUCCAGAAUUUGAAGUUAAUAAUUUCAUUACUGAUUGCAAGAACACUGAAAUAAAAGUGAACCAACUUUAUAAGGAUAAGCAAACUUUGGUAUCGGUUAUGGUGAAAUAUGCGAUAUCGAAUGGAUUUAACACCUUUACUAAACGAUCUGAUAUACACAGGUGUGGAAUAAUUUAUUAAUUUUUAUUUGUAGAUGUUGUGAAGGAUGUUGUUGUGUUGUAAUAGCAUUUGUUAAACGAGUUUUAUUAUUGACUGUAAUUUCUGACUUUGUUGUUUGCAUAAAAAAAGGUUACAGUUCUUAUGUAUAAUAUUCCAUCAUACAUGCAUGCGAAUGUAUAAUAAAACUAUAACAAUUUAGUUAUGACUUUCUUAUUUAAAGUAAAGAUUUUAUAUGUAUGUGAUUAAAUGGACAACAUGUUUUAAAAUGUAUUUGCAACUAUGUGUUACAUUGUCGUGCCAAAGAUUGUAAAUGGGUCCUGAAGGCGUAUUCGAUGAAUCAUUCGAAAAUCUUUGUGAUAAAGAUAUUUGUUUCGAAACAUAGUUGCAGCUUGAGUGAUAGAGUUCUGAAUAAUUUGGUUGCAACAACAGCUUUUGUCAGUGAGUUUACUGCACCAAAGUUAAUUAAUUACAAGAAAAUACACACACCGACGGACAUAAUUGAAGAGAUGAAGGUUGUAUACGGUGUUGAUAUUAACUACAUGAUGGCUUGGCGGGCAAAAGAAAAGGCAAUUGCGAUGCUUAGAGGUGGACCAACUGAUGGAUAUCGAAAAAUGCCCCAUUAUAUAUAUAUGUUGAACCAGGUAUAUCCUGGAUCAUAUAUUCGAAUGCAUAAGACAUUACAUAACGAGUUUAAAUACUUGUUUAUUGUCUUACAUGUUCGAAUUUUGUCGUCCAGUGGAAGUUGUAGAUGGUGCACAUUUAAGCGGGCCAUAUCAAGGAACGUUUGUAUAGACGAGCACUCUUGAUGGUGCAGGUAUUAUACUUUGAAGUAUUUACAUUUGGUAUUUCAGCAUUGUGCAUGCGUCCUAGCAGGUUAUAUGUUGCUCUAGUAUGUAUAAUAAAAAUUGAACUUGCUUAAUGAGUACAUAAAAUACCAAUAUACGCCUUUUAUUUUGUGUUUUUGAUGUUUUCUAUAAAGUGGAUGCUAGUUUCUGUUUAAACAACCUUAGAAAUUUCAUUUUCAUUUUAAAAUUGAACGAGUAUAAUGUAAGUAGAUUUUGUUUUUUGUGCUUUGUGUAUGAUUAUCUAUUCUACUCAAUGGUGUAUGUAUGAUGUUGUAAAAUAUUCAUACUUUGUUAUAUAUUUUAUAUUUAGUAUAUAAUUCCCUAACAGUAUGUUUACGAUGUAUGAUGUACUGUUAUACGUUAUUAAAAUGUGUGGAGUUAUAUAUUUUAUUUGAUUUCAACAUAGUGAUACUGGUGGGACAACAUGUAUGAUGUCAUGUAUUAUCUAAGUGAAAAAUAAUUACAGAUCUGUGCAAUGGUGUACAGAUUUAAUAGAACUGUUGUUGUUUUUUUUUGUUUAGGAUGUAUUCUUCCAUUAGCGUAUGGUGUAGUGGACUCUGAAAAUGACAAUUCGUGGACUUGGUUUUUUCAUCAAUUUACAGAAGCAUUUGGAGAAUGGCACAACAUGUGUGUUGUAUCGGAUCGUAACAAAAGUAUUAUUAAAGGUGUGAGCAUUGUUUAUCCUAAUGUCCCCCAUCUUGCUUGUAUUUGGCAUUUAUGAAAAAAUAUUUGUAAAUAUUUUACAAAAAGCAAAGAUAGACUUAGUGACCUUUAUUAUUCCAUGGCUAAAGCGUAUAGAAAAGAAGAUUUUGAUUACAUUAUGUCAAAGGUUGGAAAGGUUGAUCCAAGGGUUAAGGAAUAUUUGAAAGAACCUGGUUAUGAGAAAUGGUCUCGAUGUCACGCCCCUGUUAAUAGAGGUAGAAUGAUGACCUCUAAUAUAGCUGAAUGUAUUAAUGGUUGUUUGGUAGAGGCUAGAGUACUUCCUAUUUUAGGUUUCCUUGAAGAAGUGAGGAUUCUAUUUGCUGCAUGGAAUUGUAAGAACAGUGAAAUUGCAUCUUAUACAAACACACCGCUUGGGAGAAGAUUUCAAGAAAUACUAACUGAUAAUGGGGUUAAAUCGUUGCGGAUGACGGUAUGUAUUCUGAUAGUUGAAUCUAUUUUUUAUUUGUUAUUAAUUUUUGUAUUGUUAAAUGUAUAAAAUUAAUCAUUGAUUACAGGUUAAAGCAACUGGUAAUUAUCUGUACUGUGUGUAUGAAUCAAGAAGGAGGUACAUUGUUGAUAUUGAGCAUGGCACGUGUAGCUGUUGUCGGUAUCAAAUUGAUGAAAUUCUAUGUGCACACGCAAUUGCGAUUUUGAAGAGUAUAAAUAUAGAUGUAAAAGAGUAUGGGCGUUACUAUUCAGAACUGUACUAUCCAAACACCAUUGUAAAGACGUAUGAACUCCCCAUAAUUCCUAUGUCAGAUAUGAAAUAUUGGAUUGUACCAGAUUUUGUUGAUGCAGAUGAAGUCUUGCUACCCAAAUACAGAAGACCUCCCGGGAGGCCAAAAAAAGGAAGACAUUUGAAAUCUAGUGAAUCACUUAUAAGUUCAAACCAUUGCGGUAAAUGCGGGCGUGCAGGCCACAACCGUAGGAAGUGCAGUUUAUUCCCUAAAGAAAGUUGAAGAUUUUAGUUUGUUUUUCUAAAUGCUAAGUGAUUGUUUGGAUAUAACUACAAAACGUCAAUUUUUUUUUUUGUUUCUUUGCUUGUUGACAUUUAUUUUAUGUUUUUAUUUGUUAUGUGCUUUUUAAUUAUGAAUGAAUGUUUGAUAUUUUGAAAACAAUAUCACACAGUUUUGAAUUCUUACAGUUUAUGACUUUACUGCUUAUUAUUGCAGCGCAGUAAUAUGUAAUAUUAAUGUAUAAUAUAUUUAACAUGUCUGAUAUUAUACGUUGACAACAUGUAUGACUUUUAUGUAAAUAUUUUUUAAAAGCAUAACAACUAAUAAUAAUAUGAAUCAAAACGAAUUUGUGUGCGGAUUAUGGAUUAUACAUUAAGAUCUAUGUAUGAGAGUAAAUUUUUUUUUUGUUUUGUUAUUAGUAUUAUGUAUAAAUGUUGAUAAAUUAAGUUUGUUUACAAUUUACGAUGUAUUGUUAUUUUUGAAAAAAAAAAAUUGAAUAUGAAGUUGUUUUCAAUUAAGCAAUGAGACGUUUCAACAUGUAUGAUGUUGUCUACUGAAUUUCUUAAAAAUAAAUUGAUACCUGUUCAAUGUAUAAUUAACUCAUAAUAUAAUAUUUACUUCUUUAAUGUCGGAAAAAAAUAAUGUUUUACAUACAUUUAAUUUACUAUACAUAUGUGACAUUUUACAUAUGUAAAAUGUUGUUAUACAGUCUUUUUAAUAUCAAGUUAGUUUAAAUGAGUAAUUAACAAAUAAGAUAGAAUAAGUAAAAAAGAGUUUAUGUAAAUGUAUUAAAACCAAUAACUGCCAUCCAUAUAAUGUUGCCCAAAAACCAACAUUCCAAAAAACAUUACUGUAUAUAACUUUUUAGCAAAAACAACAAAAAAAGCAAUUAGAAUGUUUUUUAGACUGAGCUACUCUAAAGUAACAAUUGCACUUUCAUUAGGUGAUUGGAGAAAAGUAUUCUUUGGACGAGGAGGAUCAUCAUUAUCACUCGUAUAACCUUUUUUUGCCUUCGUCACUCCGUAAUGCCAUAGUAAUGAAGCAUAACGUGCACGUUGACUAGAAGCUUCAAACUCACAUAAUGAACUUGUUGCCCUUCACUCAAUAUUUCUGCAUAUGCAGCCACAAAUACCCCGCAAUCCCUGAAUUUUUAAUAAAAUGAAAGAUCGAUAAGUAUAGUAAUUUAACAUGAUCAUACAUGUGAAAAUUUAAAAAGUAAGGACACUUACAAACUAUCAGACGCUUUCUGUGGAAUGCUUUGGACGUAUUCAACAUCAAAUGGGUUGUGACUUAUCUCACCAGUUUGCCGACCAAGCUUCCCUUCAUACGCUUUAAGUGUUGACCAGUCAACUCUUUCAGUCUUUUCAAAAAAACUACUGUCCGACAAGUAAGUAGACAGCAUGGCUGGUAACUUUCUUAUUUCAGUUGGUGGUUCACUCUUCGUUUUGCUUGACAAUGAGUCAUACACGCGUAUUGUUCUCUCCUUUAACACAAUUACAGUCAAUAUCCAGUGAUAUUCUUUUCCACAGUUAACAGGAACAUAUACCUCAUCAAUCAAAUGCCAUGGUAAACCCGCAGGAAUACAGAAUCCAUUAAUUAUAUUUGUUAUGGUGAUUUCAUUAGAAGCACAAGCAACAGAUUCUGCAUAGUCUUUUUGCGUAGAUAUGUGAUCUAUUUUAACUUCUGGAAAAUAGCGUUCGUAUGUUUUUUCCAUAUAUGUUUUGAAGAAGCAGCUGGUUGUCGUAUAUCUAUAUGGAUCACACUGCUGCAACUUUGAUUUUUUUCUCAAAUGGUAGAAUAUUACAGCUAAGUGCUGCGAUUAGAAAUGGUUAUGUUAUGUUAAGCACUGAAAGAAAACUGCAUAUUAAGACGCUAUUACUAUUUAUUGCGUAAGAAGUUGAAUGAAUGACAUGUUUCCAUUACAUCUAUAAUGUGAUUAUACAGUCCAUAACAUGUAUGAUAUUUAUUCAUACAACAUAUGCUAAUGUAUAUGUUUUAGUUAUUAGUAUGUAUUGGGAAUGUAAAUUAGUGUAUGAUAUAUUAACAAAACUUUGAUUAUAUGUAAUACUACAUGUAUAAUCAUUAGUCAUAAAAUUAAAUCGUAGUAAAAUGAUUUUGCUAUUAUUAUUUUGCAACAAAGAACAGGAAUGUAUGAUAUGUUACAAGUCAUUGUUUUAAAUGUGAUUCUACAUCACACCACGUGUAUGAUCUGUAACUAUACAAUAGAUUAUGUGUAUUAUGUAUUUUAAUCGUACAACAACUACUAAUGCAUAAUUUUUAGUUGUUAGUAUGUAUGAUAUACUAACAUAACAUGUAGUAAAUGUGAUUAUAUGUCUUACCACAUGUAUUAAAUUGUGUCAUAAAAUAAAUUCGAAGUCAUAUAUUUUCGUUGUUAUUAUGUUUUCAACAAAGUACAUCAAUGUAUGAGCUAUUACAAUUAAAUGUAUAAUAAGUGAUUGUACAUAACACCAUAUGUAUGAUAUGUAAUAAUACAAUAGAUUUUAUGUAUUAUGUAACAAUUAGAAUAUUUUUAGUAAAAGUUUAAAGAAGCAUGAUAUAGUUGAGUUUAAUUUAUCUCAUCAUUCCAACACAUUUUGGGUUGCUUCAUUAAGUAGAACCAAUUCUUUGAGAGUGCUUGUGCAACAAUAAAGUUCAAUAGAUGAUAACCUAAUUCCGGAGCAUUUUUUAGAUAGUAAUUGUCUGUUUGUUUCCUGUAACAUAAACAAGCAUUAGAAUUCACCAAGGUUUAUUCUUAUGUACUAAAUUCAGUAAUUUAGUAAGCUUUUGAAAUAACUUACUUUGAUGCAUGAUAUUUCAGUAACCCAAGUUCAAGCCACUGUGAAUAAUCGCUGAUUAAUUGAUUAGGCAUGUCUUCGUAAAUGGUAUAACCAUCAAAAGCAUACCUCUGCUUCUCUUCAUUAUCAGAACUGCCAUCAUCUUUAGAGCUCGAUCCAAAUUUUUUGAUGUAUGGUGACCUGAAAAUCUUUGACUUUUUUCUGUCUCUUUUAACAGGUGAUUUAUGUUUUACUUCAUGAGCUUUUGCUGCUUCAAGCUCACUUACUUGUGCAUCAGGAAAGUCUGGUAGAAACUGACUAUCUGGAAGUGACCACUGACUUUCCUUCACUAAAUUUGGUGUAACAACAUCGAAUUUUUUUGUAUUCGAAGGUGUUGACAACCCAAAUAUUAGUAUGUCUAAAGCAUCUUGAUCAGACUCCGUUAGUGUGGCAUUCACAUCAUUCUACAGAUUAAAGAUUGAUGUGUUAUGUGUAAAAUCAAACAUAUUAAUGUUUGAUGUUAGUGAUACCUAAACAGCAGCGACAUUUAUGUAGAUUGUUUUGUUUGUUUAAACCAAAAUUUGAACUAUAAAAAAAAUACUUGCAAAUCUGUCACAUCAGUACUAUGAUGUUUGUUCAAUUCGUCAACACAAAAUGAUUUUUUUGUGGCAAUAUGCUCAUCCUAUUUUAAGUAAAGUCAUUAUGUAAUAAAAUAAAUAUGUCAUAUAUCUAUAUGUAUCACAAAUGUAUAAAGGACUGUACUAUGUCAUAAGUUUAUGUUUUUAGACUUGAAGUGUUCAAUCAGCAGUAGUAAAACAGAAAAAAUUUAAAAAGUGCCAUCACAGGAGUAUGUUGUUUUCCCAAAUAUUUGAUAGCAUCUUCCUCUUUAUCGAAAAUAAGCGAAUCCUAAAUUAAGAGUUAAGUAGAAUGUCGGAACACAUUUAUUAAUAGUAAGACAUAGUUCUAAAGGAUAAAAAUUUGUAAAAGUGAUUUUAAAAAUCCUACAAUGAUGAAUGAAAAGAUGUUUACAUAAUUUGAUAUGUAUUAGGGAUGGAUGUCAAUGUAUAAGAAUGUAAGUUUUGAGUUGAUAAACAACAUGGAAAACCAAUAAUGUACCUCUAAAUGUUUCUGUUAAUAGAACUUUAUUGAAAGGAAGAAAGGCUAAGAUUUACAAUAUAAUCUGAAAAGCCUGAAACUAACUAAACAAAAGUAGGCUAUAUAUACAUAGCCAAUAACCUAAAGGUCCAUAAACUAAAGGCCCAAUAACAUAUGGGCUAACAUCCCCCCUCAAACUCACAAUGCAACAGCAAUAAGCAUUGAGAGUUUGUCACACAAAAAACGAAAUCGAGACGCCGACUGAGCCUUCGUAAAAAGGUCAGCAAUCUGCAAAGACGAUGGAACAAAAGGAAGCGAUAUGGUCCCGAGCUGUAAAUGAUGACGGGUGAAGUGACAAUCAAUCUCAAUGUGCUUCGUACGCUCAUGGAAGACAGAAUUCUUUGCAAUUUGUACCGCACUUUUGUUAUCACAAUGCAGGGGAGUAGGCAUAGAAAUGUGAACCCCCAUAUCUGCAAGAAGCCAACGUAACCAAAUAAUCUCACAUGUAGUCACAGCCAUAGCACGAUACUCAGCCUCCGUGGAAGAUCUAGAGACAACAUCUUGUUUCUUGCUCUUCCACGAGAUUAAAGAGUCUCCAAGAAACACACAAAAACCAGUGGUGGAUUUACGAUCAUUGCGAUCUCCAUCCCAAUCAGCAUCACUAUAGGCUCGCAACUCGAGAGAUGACGUCGAGGGAAACAAGAGAUUCUGAAACUGAGUGCCACGAAGAUACCUUAGAAUACGAAGUACAGCUCCCCAGUGCACAGAAGUAGGAGCAGUAACAAACUGGCUAACAACAUGAACUGCAUGUGCUAUAUCUGGACGAGUAACCGUAAGAUAAACCAAACUACCCACAAUAGUCCGAUAAAGACUCGGAUCUGAUAAUGGAACACCAUCACUAGGAGAGUAACGUGCAUUGGUUUCAAGGGGAGUAUCUACAGUCCUGUUGUCAGAAAGACGCGCCCGUGUAAACAAGUCAGAUAUAUACUUAGUCUGAGAAAGAAGAUACCCUUUCUUAGACUGAGCCACCUCAAUACCCAGAAAAUAACGCAGCAAGCCCAAGUCCUUCAUUGCAAAUCGAUGAGCCAAAUCAUGCUUCAAUAACUCAAUACCACUAUGAUCAUCACCAGUAAUAAUCAUAUCAUCUACAUAUAAGGACAAUAGAAUUCGCCCUGCACUUGUACAUCUAACAAACAAUGCUGAAUCAUGGUUACUCGGGACAAAUCCAAGGGAAGUAAUAACAGUGGAGAAUUUCUCAAACCAAGCACGAGGGGCUUGUUUGAGACCAUAUAAAGCUUUUCGAAGCCGACAAACUUCACCUGGCUGGUGGUCAAUACCUGGGGGAGGAGUCAUAUAAACUUCCGCGUGGAGAUCACCAUUCAGAAAAGCAUUCUUGACAUCCAUCUGAAAUAUCUUCCACUGUCGAACGGAUGCAACAGCAAUCAUAGUGCGAACAGUCGUCAUCUUUGCUACGGGGGAAAAAGUCUCCUCAUAAUCCAUACCAUAUUGUUGUGAAUACCCUUUUGCCACAAGUCUUGCCUUGUAUCGCUCAACAGACCCAUCAGAUUUUGUUUUUAUCUUAUACACCCAUCGACAACCAAUCGCAUGCUUACCAGGUGGGAGAGUAACCAAAUCCCAUGUAUGUGUAUGAUGAAGAGCAGCAAGUUCCUCAGCCAUAGCAUUCUGCCAAAGAGGAUCAGACACAGCCUCUCUAUACGACUCAGGUUCAGACAAAUGAUGUAUGUUUGCAAUAAAGGAAGCAAAUGAGGCUGAAUAUGUAGAAUAGUAAAAAUCUGGCAGUUUGGUGGACUUACAAGGUCGAGUAGACCUCCUCAGAGGUGGUGGGUCUCCAGUCUCAACAGUCGAAGGAGCAGACUCAGGCACAGGCGAGGCUGAAGCACUAUCAGGUGGCACACCAGAUGGCAUGGAUGAAUCCGGAACUGGAACCUCUAUGUCAAUCCCAAAGGGAUCAAUAAGCCGAAUAUCUGACUUUGUCACAUCAUGGGUUUUAGCUGGAAUGGAAUAAAAAGGAAUAUGUUCCAAAAAAGUGACAUGUCGUGAAACAUAUAAUUUCUGACUUACAGGAUCAUAGCAACGAUAUCCUUUUUGUCCAAUACCAUACCCCAAAAACACACAUAUAGCUGAUUUUGACCCUAACUUAUUUCGUUCAACAUGAGGACGAAGAACAAAGCAAGUACAUCCAAAAACUCGUAAUGCAGAAUAAUUCGGCGGGUGACCAUAUAGUUUCUCAAACGGAGACAUCCCUGAAGUCAAUGCAGUAGGAAUACGAUUAAUCACAUAUACAGCAGUUAGAACUGCUUCUCCCCAAAAAAUACUAGGAACCUCUGCAGACAAAAGUAAAGAGCGUGCUGUCUCAACAAUAUGACGAUGUUUUCUUUCUGCCAGACCGUUCUGCUCAGGAGUGUCGGUACAAGAUGACUGGUGUAUGGUACCAUCAGAGGCAAGUAACUGAGUGAAGUCAUUAGAGGUAUAUUCACCCCCUAAGUCACACCUGAAACACUUUAUCACAGCCGAAUGUUGUGUUUUAACAAGGGCUCUAAAGUUGUUGUAAAUGCCAAAGAAAUCAGAUCUGCGUUUCAUAAGAUACACCCAGGUAUAACGAGUAUAGUCAUCUAUAAACGAAACAUAAUAGGUCGAUCCACCCUUAGUGGAUACUGGCGCUGGUCCCCAUACAUCAGAAUGAAUAAUAUCAAAAGGAGCAACAGAAUAAGACACACUUUUAUUAAACGGUAAGGCAGAAAAUUUUGCCAGUUUACAACCACUACAAUCUGAAAUAUCACUAGUGUUCACAUGACCCAAAGCACCACUAGAGACCAAAAAACGUAAACGUGAAACUGACACAUGUCCUAAUCUGGAAUGCCAAAGAUAAAACUGAGAAGACAAAGGACUCAAACGAAAAGAAGAUAAAUCUAUGCUAGAGGCAGCAACUACAGACACUUUGAGAUUCUCCAAGACAUAGAGUUCCCCCAACCUACGGCCGGUCCCAAUCACCCUCUGAGUGUGUUGGUCCUGUAUAACACAAACAGAAUCAGAAAAAAACACCCAAUUACCAGCCUUACACAACUGACUGACCGAAACAAGAUUUAAAGCAAGUUUGGGAAUGUAAUAAACAUCAGAGAGGACAAUGUGAGGGGUAGUAACAGAACCAACACCCUCGACUGACAUAGGUACAGCACUCGCGGACAUAACAGAGAUUGGUGAAAUGGGUGACAAAGAACCAAACGAUGACAAAUGAGGGGACAUGUGAUGAGACGCACCAGAAUCCAAUAUCCACAAGGAGGAAGGAAUACCUGAGGUACUAGAAGAAACUGAACCCGAAUGAGACAUAGAUGCUGACAUGGCCGUAGGAUUAGAAACGAAGAACUGUCUGAACUGUUCGAAAACCUGGGGAUCCAACGCAGAAGGUGGCAUAGUGCUAACAGACUCAACAUCUACAGAUGGUGCAGCAGCAGCGAACUGUGGAGGACGAGAUGACCACGGAGGAGCACCAGAUGGGCGUGACGGAUACUUUUGCUGCCCAUAUUUCUGUUGCUGCCCAGAUUGAGGCUGUUUGACCUUGUUAAGUAACAACGGACACUGAGCCUUCCAAUGAUUUUUCUGUUUGCAGAAUGCACACUCAUCAAAUGCAACUUUAGGAGAUUGUCGAGUCUGAGUACGUGGUGGCCUAGACUGAUCAGUUGAAGCAGCAAACACGACAGGAGUAGUAGUUACUUUAGACCCUUUAUCCACUUGAGACUUGAUACGAGUCUCCUCUGCAAUCAGUUCAUGAACCACAGAAUCAACAGUAGGGAGGGGAGAUCGAUGAAGGAUUGUUCCACGUAGGCCCUCAAAGUCAGAACGUAGUGCCAUCAAAAACUGAACCAAGCGUUGCUCUUCCCGUCUAGCAAUGUACGGCCCAAAACCUUUUAACUCUGCAGAUUCAGUAAGUGCCAAUUGAUCCCACAAAUCCGACAUGGCAGCAUAAAAAUCUUGAAUACUGAGAUCAUGCUGUUGAAGAGCACGGAUAUCAUACUCCAACUGGUACUGCUUAGCAAAAUUAGACUGAGUGUACAGUCUUUCCAAAUGAUCCCAGACCUCCUUUGCUGUGUCAUACUUAGCCAAUUGCAUACCAAUUGACUGAGUUACAGAAUUGUUGAUCCAAGUGAUAAUCUUGGAGUUAUUAGUUUCCCAUAAGUCCACCAACAAAUCAAAAUUUUCAGUUUUAUCAUCGAUAGGUCUUGGUUUUACUCCAGUGAUAUAACCCCACAUAUUCUUCCCACGAAGAAAAUUCUUCAUGACAUAACUCCAAUAUGCAUAGUUCUUACCAUCUAAUUGAGUACUAAUGGACUGGAGAGAAUCAUCCUUUCCAGUCAUUGUAAACACAGCAACACACAAACAAUUCAAAAAACAAAAAGAUGCAAAACCCUAGGUUGAACAAUUCCGAACGAACAACAAUGGCAGCAAGCAAAAGAACGAAAGACGAACAAUACCAGACAGCAAACGAAGACAGCAACGAAUCAAUCCAACCAAAAAACCCAACGAAAAGAGCAAACGAAUACAGCAGCACCUCAAAAAAAUCAAAGGACAUGGAUCGAACUAGCUUUGAUACCAUGUUAAUAGAACUUUAUUGAAAGGAAGAAAGGCUAAGGUUUACAAUAUAAUCUGAAAAGCAUAAAACUAACUAAAACAAGAGUAGGCUAUAUAUACAUAGCCAAUAACCUAAAGGUCCAUAAACUAAAGGCCCAAUAACAUAUGGGCUAACAUCCCCCCUCAAACUCACAAUGCAACAGCAAUAAGCAUUGAGAGUUUGUCACACAAAAAACGAAAUCGAGAUGCCGACUGAGCCUUCGUAAAAAGGUCAGCAAUCUGCAAAGACGAUGGAACGAACCCCGGACGGGGGCGCGUUGCCCCCCGGACCCCCCAGCGAACUCACCACGGAGUUCGAUCCGCGCAGUAGGUGCCUGCUACAAAAUCUUCAACCAACAAAUCAAAGGACAUGGAUCGAACUAGCUUUGAUACCAUGUUAAUAGAACUUUAUUGAAAGGAAGAAAGGCUAAGAUUUACAAUAUAAUCUGAAAAGCCUGAAACUAACUAAACAAAAGUAGGCUAUAUAUACAUAGCCAAUAACCUAAAGGUCCAUAAACUAAAGGCCCAAUAACAUAUGGGCUAACAGUUUCAUAUGAGGGCUAUGUUGUCUGCUCAGUUCUUCAUUACAAUCUGUUUUUUUUUUUUUGCAUCAUUAUGCUCAUCCUACAUUCAGUCAUCAGCAUCAUGUAUAAAAGUCAUGUUAAUGUAUAAUGUAAUGUUAUACAUUCUCAUGAAUGUAUAAUGAAUCUGAGACAGUAUCACAAUAUGAUAGUAUUACAAUAUAAAUUAUUCAAAGUAAGACAGUGCUAGAUAAAAUAAAUUUGUAAUACUAAUUUGAAAAGUCAUAUAAUGGUGAAUGAAAACCUGUUUAUAGAAUUUAAUAUGUAGUUGGCAUGGAUGUGAAUGUAAAAGCAUGUAAGUUUUGAGUUAAUAAACAAUAUGAACAACCAAAAAAA
rnacentral:lncRNA from 1 species